rnacentral:lncRNA from 1 species
UUUGCGUCUGAGGUGGGAGGUCAGCGCUGAUGGCCCUCUGCGGACUUCUCUGAUUGGUAAGGCCAAUAGAAGGAACGAGGGAAAAUCUGACAGUCUUCAAUGCUCCACUUACCCAAGUUCUAAUUGGUGAUUUUAAACUGAGUGACGGCAAACUCUUAUCUACUUAAUUACAUUUAUUAACCAAUUAUUGAUUAUGUGACUCUAAGGGAGUCUGGGCAUUUUUAUAUGUGUAUAUACGUGUCAAUGUCUGCGGGUGUUUGAGUGUUACUUAAGAAAUAGUUCGAAUAAUUUUCUUUGCUCUUAAAGAUAUGGUACCGUUGCGUGUAUGUAUGUGUGUAUGCAUUUUUGAGAAAUGGUUUAUAUUUUCUGUGUUAUAAAUACGUUGCUUGUACUUGUGAGUGCGUUUGUGUCUGUGUGUGUGUUCGGUCGAUAAUUAUUUGUCUAUUUGGAAUUUCAUUCAUAGCUAUGCUUUAAUAUUGGUUUCACAUAUUUACACAAUGCCAGCAAUUUCGGGGGAGGAGUAAGUUGAUUACAUCGACCCCAAUACUCAACUGGUAAUCAUUGUAUCCAGCCCCAAAGGAUGAAAGACAAAUACAAUCUAAACGACAUUUGAACUCAGAGCACAAAGACAGACGAAAUGCCCCUCGGCAUUUUUGCCCUGAGUGUUAAUGAUUCAGUUAACUCGCAGCCCUGUUUUAUAGAAAUAUUAAACGGAAUUCAGUACUUCGCGGGAACUUUAUUUUAUAGAUAAACGAGGAACGAGGCAAAUUUGACCUCGGUGUGUUCAGUCUAAGAUUCGAAGUGGACAAGGUCUAAAUGACAUGCACAACUGUUUUACGUCGAAUAUAUCCGAUCUGCCAAUUAGGGAAAUAAACUACAGGGCUUACUGUGUUUGAAAACUAUAAAACAUGCGUCAUGAAUGUUUAUUUUCCCCCUUUAUUUUGCAUGCUUUCUGAUUCAAAAGCGGCACACGUGUCUUAAUGAGAUGGUUAGUUAGUGUGAGAAUAUUUUAUUGAAUACCUGGGCUGCUUAUAGUUCUAGAAGUCGAUAGGGACCGGAUUUUAAUUGCAUACAUCCAGGUAUAAAUAUAUACAUAUUUACAAACGCAUGUGCAUUUGAUGUGUGGUCAUAUAUAUAUAUAUAUAUAUAUAUAUAUAUAUAUAUAUAUAUAUAUAUAUUGUAAAAUGUGUCAAUAUUAUGUAAAUAGAGUACAAUAUGUUACAUUACUCGGUAGUCAAGAUAAAACUCUGAGUUUCAGAUGCCGAAUAUAUAUAUAUAUAUAUAUAUAUAUAUAUAUAUAAAAAUACAUAUAUAUUAUAUAUCUUCUUGGGACAUAACACAGAAAGCAUGUUAUAUAUCCGUUUUCUUUAGGGGACCAAAAACGUAACAGAAAUUUAGUCACAUGUGGGCAUGAUCCGAAAAGCUCUGUCCUUGUAUUUAGACAUGUGGUAGGGUCUAAGCUGCUUUUCCAGAUAAGCCAUCUCUCCAUGUCGCAUAAACCGCACCUUCCGCUGCCGUUAGUAUAGGGCUUACAUCUGGCCAAAAUCUUCCAUUGUAUGUUAUAAUCGACACCUUUAUCUCUUAAAGACCAAAUAUGAUUGGAUAAUUGUGUCGCUUUUCUUUUGUUCCAGUGCCUAAAGCUCAAAGUGUGGUUAUUGAACCUGGCCUUGAAAUUACCCUCUGUCAGGCCCACGUAUUUCUUCGUCGAAACGGUGUCUUUAGUGGUUAUAGAGUUUACGGUAGCUUCAUAUAUGAUGGUCUUGGAUAUGCAAGCUCCAUUUAGCGGGCACAAUUCUUUAUUCCUGCAUGAACAGCUGUUUUCUUCUUGUGUUUUUUGUAUGUUAUGAUUGAUUAUGUUUUUAAAAUUGGUAGUUGAACUAAAACUAAUUUUUAAAUUGUGUCUAUUGAAGAGUUUCCUAUAAGCAUGGUUAACUGGAAAAUGUCUAUCUAUCAGUGCUAGGAAAUAUUUACCUAUAUUGAAGGCCACCUCGGGUGAGUAAGGGCGUAAACCAGAUGACCUUCCUAUUUCUAUUAUUCCUUUUCCUUAUUGUUGGGCUGGUGAUAGGUGUAUAUUUUAUUUUUUCGCUAAAACCACUAUCUUUUAAAGCUUUAUUAUAAACUGGGGCAACGCUAUUGAAGAUGUCCUCAUUAGAUGAGAGGCUAGAAAUCCUCUUACUAAUAUUUUUAACUAAAUUUUUGAAUACUAUAGGGGGAUGGCAUGAACCUACAUUAAUAUAACUUAGUCUAUCGUUGGGCUUCCUAUAAGGCUUAUAAAUAUUAUUAUUAAGAUCUAAGGAAACGUCUAAGAAAUUGAGCAUGGGUUCAUAUGAUGGGGCAGGCAUCUGUGAUCUAAUUGGACUCUUUCUCCUAGAUACCUUCAGUAAGACAUUCCCUAACGUACAUUUUGCCAUCUACAAAGAUGAUGCCCUCGCCUUAACAGCUAAUACAAAUGGACCAGCACAAGAUCGUUUUAGGAAGGAUAUUAUCCAGUUAAUGAAACACUUCGGACUUAGUAUAACUAUAGACACUAACCUGACGGUUGUCAAUUUCUUAGACGUUUCCUUAGAUCUUAAUAAUAAUAUUUAUAAGCCUUAUAGGAAGCCCAAUGAUAGACUAAGUUAUAUUAAUGUAGGUUCAUGCCAUCCCCCUAUAGUAUUCAAAAAUUUAGUUAAAAAUAUUAGUAAGAGGAUUUCUAGCCUCUCAUCUAAUGAGGACAUCUUCAAUAGCUUUGCCCCAGUUUAUAAUAAAGCUUUAAAAGAUAGUGGUUUUAGCGAAAAAAUAAAAUAUACACCUAUCACCAGCCCAACAAUAAGGAAAAGGAAUAAUAGGAAGGUCAUCUGGUUUACGCCCCCUUACUCACCCGAGGUGGCCUUCAAUAUAGGUAAAUAUUUCCUAGCACUGAUAGAUAGACAUUUUCCAGUUAACCAUGCUUAUAGGAAACUCUUCAAUAGACACAAUUUAAAAAUUAGUUUUAGUUCAACUACCAAUUUUAAAAACAUAAUCAAUCAUAACAUACAAAAAACACAAGAAGAAAACAGCUGUUCAUGCAGGAAUAAAGAAUUGUGCCCGCUAAAUGGAGCUUGCAUGUCCAAGACCAUCAUAUAUGAAGCUACCGUAAACUCUAUAACCACUAAAGACACCGUUUCGACGAAGAAAUACGUGGGCCUGACAGAGGGUAAUUUCAAGGCCAGGUUCAAUAACCACACUUUGAGCUUUAGGCACUGGAACAAAAGAAAAGCGACACAAUUAUCCAAUCAUAUUUGGUCUUUAAGAGAUAAAGGUGUCGAUUAUAACAUACAAUGGAAGAUUUUGGCCAGAUGUAAGCCCUAUACUAACGGCAGCGGAAGGUGCGGUUUAUGCGACAUGGAGAGAUGGCUUAUCUGGAAAAGCAGCUUAGACCCUACCACAUGUCUAAAUACAAGGACAGAUCUUUUCGGAUCAUGCCCACAUGUGACUAAAUUUCUGUUACGUUUUUGGUCCCCUAAAGAAAACGGAUAGAACAUGCUUUCUGUGUUAUGUCCCAAGAAGAUUUUAUAUAUUUUUAUAUAUUUUUAUAUAUUUUUAUGUAUUUUUAUAUAAUUUUUAUGACGAAAAAUGCGAGCGAUGUAUAAGUACGCAGGCAAAGCAGAGUUAUAACAGAGUAAUUUCCCUUCAUUUUUAACGGUAUUUUUUCAUAACGUUUUCAAAUAGCCAGAUAACCGAAGAGAUGGUGUUGUGGAUUUCCACUUCGGCAUCUGAAACUCAGAGUUUUAUCUUGACUACCGAGUAAUGUAACAUAUUGUAUAGAUAUAUAAAUAUAUAUAUAUAAAUAUAUAUAUAUAUAAAUAUAUAUAUAUAUAAAUAUAUAUAUAUAAAUAUAUAUAUAUAAAUAUAUAUAUAAAAUAUAUAUAUAUAUAAAUAUAUAUAUAUAUAAAUAUGUAGGUCCCGGGUUGAUUCGGGGUUAACCACAGUAAAUAAGGUACUCAAUACAUAGCAGAGUAAAAUUAAUUUAUUAUAUAGAAGGAGCUUCUACAGGACUAGAACUGUUUCAUUCAAGAGAAAUCUUCAGGAAGCUAGUUAACAAGAAUUGUAUUGGCAUUUAUACAUUUAGGCAGGUUUAAAGGGGUGUUGGUGGGGGACUUUUUGGGGGUAGGCAUAGCGCAAAAUAUCAUACUGGGGGAGUGGUCAAGGAGUCAGUGUUAAAUUAGAUAAAAGAAUAAAAAUAUAUAUAUAUAUAUAUAUAUAUAAAAAAGGUAUAGAGUUUUAGGUAAAUAAGGAGAUUCUCACUUAUACCUAUGCACAUAUGUAUACAUAUAUACACACACAUACAAACAUAUAUACAUAUACAUACACACAUACAUACACACACACACAUAUACAUAUAUAUACACUUACACAUACAUAUACAUAUCUACACAUACACAUAAAUGUAUACAUACACACACUCACAUGCAUACACGUACACACACAUGUAUAUAUACACACACGACCACACAUACAUAUACACACAGAAAAAUAUCUAUACACAUAUACACACAUACACACAUACACGCAUACACACACAUAUCCACACACACACAUGCACACACAGCACACUAGUCCCUAUAUACAUAUAUAUAUAUAUACACAUACACACAUAUAUACAUAUAUAUACAUAUACAUACAUAUAUAUAUAUACAUAUAUAUAUACAUAUGUGUACCUAUACAUACCUACACAUACACACAUAUAUAUACAUACAAAUACAGACCCAUUCCCUAAUUUUAAUUUUAUUAUAUAUAUAUAUAUAUAUCCGUACACACUUACAAAUAUCUGAAUAUUAAAAAAAGGUAUGAAUCUGUCAUACAGCAGUUUAUACAAAUAUUUGUGGUUGUACGUAUGUGUGACAGCAUGUUCGUUUAUAUGCGUGACUGUGUGUGCGUGUAUUUCAGACUUUGUGUGGCUGAGUUUGUGUAUGUCAACCACUGUAUCAUCUUCCGCUUGGAUGAGGUUGCAUUUUAUAUCCUUCAAGCAAUUUUUUAGUCCUCUAAACUAAUUUAAACAGUAUCAGACACGUUCAUCAUGUUAUUAUCAUAUGAUGUCUAUAAUUAGUUACCAUGAAUAAGUUUCUGCUUAGAAAGUAGUUAAACGAAGCAACUUAGGUGGCAUUCCGCUCCCUCAGCUGUCCAGUUCUGUUCUGUUCAUUUACGGAACUAACAAACUCUCAUUUAUAAAUACGCUAAUCUCCUGUACACAUCACCUCAGAUUUUUUUCUUUGCUUCGGGUUUUUUUUUUUACUGUUACAUGGAGAUAGCGAAACGGUUUAUUAAUUGCUCGAAUUAUUUUACUUGUCAACGAAUAAUGGGAUAAUUUCGGAAUAUGGUUUUGCAAUCUAUGUAUUAGAGUUCGUUUUCAGUGCGUAGUACUUUAGGAAUAUGCAUUUACUGUAACGUUUAAGGAAUUUGCUUCUUAAUUAUGAGAUUCACGUUCGAUCCAUUUCAGGGUAUCUUCGGCAAUAUUGAUUUACAUAGAUUGAAUUUGUCUCAUACUUGUGAUCGAAAUUCAGAAAAAGUAAGAUGUAUAAAACUGCGUCGGGUGUAUAUAGCUCCUUACAUUGAUUUUCCAUCUGACUGACAUCAAGUGUAAUACUUAUCUCUGUAUACACAAAAUACUCACAUGCCAACCUAUACUCAACAACUUACAAAUUAAUUCAUAAGUAGGUUCUCAGUUAAUCGAAUAGCCGAAUGCUCGUCGUCGAAAGACGGAAAACCAUCACCACCAAAACAACCAGCACAGAGCAAAACUUCCUGAAAUACAUAGCUUAGCACUGUAGGAUUGAUCUAAGCUGUUCUUGUGUGGUAGACACACUUUUCCCCAAGGUUGAAUGCCCUUAAUUUUGCCACAUAAAUCCCCACAAUAGACCCAAAACAAAACAAUACUUUUAAGAAUCUCAGAUUGAAGUCAAGGUAGGUUCAAGCUGAAAAGUACCCCCAAACCAUUCUGAGUCAUCAACACUUGCCUCGUGUGAUGGAGCAUAUUAAAUGCAGCUGAGGUGUCCGGAAAACAAUAAAAGCGAGAAGAACUAUUCUUGAUAGCAGCCAAUCUUGAAUGGAUUCUUUCACAUGCAACCUGUAAUACUUAUUCUCCGGAGGGUGGAGGCUACCAUUUUUGAUAUAGAAAUGAAGACGAAACAGUAUUUUUUCUAUCCUUCUGGUUCACAACCAUAUAGUUCCGGAUUCAGUCCUCUUGAAGUAAGUGUUUUCCACUAUAGCCUCGGUCCGACCAGUAUUUAUGUAUAUGUAUAUAUAUAUAUAUAUAUAUAUAUAUAUAUAUAUAAAUCUCUAAUAUUGGACAAUUAUUCGGUAGACAUGAUAAAACUCCGAGUUUCGGAUGCCGGGGAGGAAAUCCGAAACUCGACUAUCGCGGGUGUUACGUUCCAAAAUCUUCCACAGAAUUAAUUAAAAUAUAUAAAUACCUAUCCGCCACAGAGGCCGCGAUAUACUGAGGAAUCCACGAUAUAAGUUUACAUGUAUACAUUGAAAAAUCUCCUGCGAUGUACUGACUGCGCAAUAGGUGGAACGGAAUAUGUCGAGAAAUUACUGUAUAAAUAUGUGUGUGUGUACGUGUGUGUGUGUGCGCGCGUUUGUGCGUACGUGUGUGCGUUUGUGCAUGUUCUUUCCCUACAACCGCUUGACAACUGGCGUUGCUAUGUUUACGUCUCCACAAACUAGCAGUUCGGCCAAUGACACCGUUGGAAUAAGUGCCAGGCUGAAAAAGUAUACGGUGGGGAGGGAGAAUGGAUUCAUUCAAUUAAACAUUCUUCAAAAUGGUGUCCCAGCAUGGUGGUAGACUAAUGACUGAAACAGGAAAAAGACAAAACAUAUACAGACUUUAAGCAUCCGGCUGUGGUGUGAAGGCUUUGGAGAUUAUAAGAGAUAUCAUUUUAUAAUUAGACUAGCAGUAUCGCCCGGCGUUGCUCGGGUUUGUAAGGGAAAUAACUAUAUAAGCAUUUUUAGAGAGUUAUAGCCAAAAAAUAGCAAAAACUGCAUUAAAAAUGGAAAAAAAACUGAUGGUAAUUUUUUUUAAAUCGUUGACUCAUCGUAGACAUUUUUAGAGAGUCACUUCCCUUAUAUAAUAGCGAAAAAAAUGCAUUAAAAUGGAAAAAAAUGAAGGUAUUUUUUUUUUUAUCGUAGGCUCAUUGUAGACGCGCGCUAAUACCCAGAAGGGCUCGAUAUGUAUCACGACUAUAAGAUACCCGGUUCUGGUUAAACUGCACCGCAAAAUGUGGGAGUAGUUAGGAAUCUAAAUCGUAGGAGACAGACAGACACACAACUUCACUUUUAUAUAUGAAUAUUUCCAAGGCCUUUCUUUGCUCAUUUGAUAAUCCAAUUCUCUACCCAUGAUGUAUACGGCUCUUACGUUUAUGACAGUAAAGGCGUUUAUGCCAUUAAGCAUGGACUUUAGUACUCUACUAAUGUUUCGGAAAUAUUCUUUCCUGACUUUAUCUUUCAUAGUCCUGUCUUUUAUACCAUCAGCUUCCAAGAGUCACAGAUAUUUAUGCCCAUCACCUGUAUGAAACUCCCGUGCUCUUCUCAUUCGGAAAAUUUAAUCCACCACGUUUAUGGCUUUUCUCUUUCUUCAUCACCGCGUUUCAGCACUUGGAAAAAUCGCAUUCUAUUCUAAUAUCGGUGUUAUUCACUCGUACAAUAUUGACAGUGUUCUCCUGUUCACUCUCAGCUUUUCCAUAUAGAUUUAUCAUUCAUAAACGGCAAAGUUUUACCUAUCCACCGAUAACUUCCUCAACUAUAUCUAGAUUUUAGCUUCCUUAUUUCAAUGGAAAGUAGAUGGGGUGAUAUACCUUCAAUAUUAUUAUUACCGUUAUUAUUAGCAUUAUUAUUUAAGGCCGUGAGUUGGUAGAAUAUUUAGCACGCCAGGCGAAAUGCUUAGCGAUAUUUUGUCUCCCGCUACGUUCUGAGUUCAAAUUCCGCCAAGGUCAAAUUUGCCUUUGGUCCUUUCGGGGUCGAUGAAAUAAGUACCAGUGAUGCACUGGGUUCUAUGUAAUUAACUGACUCCCUUCCCCCAAAAUUUUCAAGGUCUUGUGCCUAGAGUAGAAAUAAUAAUAAUAAUAAUAAGUAUUAUUAUUAUUAUUAUUAUUAUUGAGUGAGAGAGCAGUGCAUGCCAUCAAAGUGAAACCGGGGUAAAAUAUACGAAGCCCUGCAUACCCAUCAUGACUACCUGCCUCAUAAGGGUACACUAAGCACAUGCAUCACAACCAUAUGUGCGCGACAUGGCAAUCUCAUAUCAAAAUAAACAGCACAUGACUUUGUAGGUGGAACCCAGUUAGAAAUUUCUUCUGGUCAAGUAACCCAUCCCACUCAAAAGGUUCCUGAAUAAGGGUUGUUUAAAGAUGUUGAACGAAACAGACAUUUCCAGAGGUGAAUUAUUCAAACGCCAAAGAAUCCCUCUCAAUACAUGGCUAUGAUGCUCCCCCACUACUUCUGCUCAUGAUCAGAGAUGCACGAAUCAGCCACUAAGGGACAUGUUCAACUGGUUAUGGUCAAACAACUGACAAGCAACUCGGUGGUAUUGAGCAGGAUAUUUGCUGUAGCCCAUCUUUUAUACGAAGACAAAACAAUGUACAUGAUAACACUUUCAAUCAGUUAAGAUUAUUAUCAUUAUUAUUAUUAUUAUUAUUAUUAUUAAUAUUAUUAUUAUUAUUAUUAUCAUCACUAUUAUUAUUAUUAUUAUUAUUAGUAUUAUUAUUAUUAUUGUUGUUGUUGUUGUUGUUGUUGUUGUUGUUGUUGUUGUUGUUGUUUUUGUUAUUAAUAUUAUUAUUAUUAUUAUUAUUGAGUGAGAGAGCAGUUCAUGCCAUCAAAGUGACACUGGGGUAAAAUAUACGAAGCCCAAUAUACCCAUCAUGACUACCCGUCUGAUAAAGGUACACCAGGCACAUGCAUCACAACCAUAUGUGCGCGACAUGGUGAUCUCAUAUCAAGAUAAACAGCACAUGACCUUGCAGGUGGGGCCCAGUUAGAAUUUUCUUCAGGUUGAGUAGCCCAUCCCGCUCAAACGGUCCCUGAAUAAGGGUUGUUUAAGGAUGUUGAAAGAAACCAGACAUGUUUCCAGAGGUGAAUUAUUCAAACCCCAAAGAAUCCCUCUCAACACAUGGCUAUGAUGCUCCCCCACUACUUCUGCUCGUGAUCAGAGAUGCACAUAUCGUCAGCCACUAAGGGACAUGCUCAACUGGUUAAAGUCAAACAACUGACAAGCAAAUCUGUGGUAUUUAUCAGAAUAUUUGCUGUAGCCCAUCUUUUAUACCAAGACAAAACAAUGUACAUGAUAACACUUCCAAUCAGUUAAGAUCAGAAGCCAUGAGAUUAGCCACUGCCUAUUAUUAAUAUUAUUAUUAUUAUUAUUAUCAUAAUAUUAUUAUUAUUAUUAUUAUUAUUAUUAUUAUUAUUAUUAUUAUUAUUAUUAUUAUUAUUGUUGUUGUUGUUGUUGUUGUUUUUGUUAUUAAUAUUAUUAUUAUUAUUAUUAUUAUUAUUAUUAUUAUUAUUAUUAUUAUUAUUAUUAUUAUUAUUAUUAUAGUCUCGAAUGAGAGGACGCUUAUUUGGGAAACGUAUAUUUUCCAAGUAAUUUGCUGUUUUAUAAUUUGAUAUUCGCAUUUUUGUGAUUAUUAACUAAAUACGUCUGCACACUGAGUUUAUUCGCCGCACCGGCACGCUGGGAUUUGAAAUUUAAAAUCUAAUAUAUCAAAAUACAAGUAACAAUAUGGUUUUGCAAAUCGAGGGAAGUAAUGGCUGUUGAAACCGCAAUUGUGACAUUAAUUUCCCAUUGUCAAUUAAUAUGGGCAAGACACAAACCACAGACAACAACAGCAACAUAAACAGGAACAGUGACGAGCAAUAUAACAUUAAAAAUGAUACAAGCAUGACUCCCACCGCCGACACCAUUAACACUGCCAUACAAACAUCAAUACAAUCAAAACGGCAUUUUUUUUUUUUACUAAACAAAAUUCGAACGGUUUCACACGAGCAGGUCGUUGAAUGGAGAAUGAUGACGUGUGAGAAUAUUAAGUGAUACCCAAUUAAUCUUAACAAAAAAUUGCAGAAUAGUAAAUUUAAAUACACUAAAGGAAAUACAGGAAGAUACUAGAAUAAGAAAAUAAAACUAAUAUAUACGAAUGUCUUUCAAAAAAACCCAGAAAACUGAAGCGGUCGAUGUAAACCCAGAUAAAAAAAAUGCCUAAGACAAGUUUGGAGGAUAAAAGCGUUUGUCACCCGUAGGAGAGGCUUGCUUGAAGUGAGUUUACCAAUUGAAAAAAAGAGCCAAAGAAAGAGCAACAACGCAUAAUUGUGAAGAAUUUUGUCUAAUUUAGACGUACCUAAAUGGCUAAAAUAAAAGUAGCUGAGGUACCACCAGAGGUAUACAUCACUUUGGUGGUGGCAGCUGUAUUAGACGGCAUAGAAAAUAAAAUGGUAGUUCUCCAAGUGCACACAAUGGGAAAAGAAAACUUGUCAGGCGCGGGAAUGGAAUUAUCGUUACAGGCCGAUUGAAGGAGUAUCGGAACACACCCUGAAUGAUAACCGUCCCAAGGUGCGAUAUUUCUCGGGAAAGAAAACACUUUCUGCCCAAUGUGAAGAAAAGGAAAACCUCCGCAGCUGCAAACACCUCUAACACAACAACUACAACAACAACAGGAAUAUCAGCUUCAAAUGUAACAGCAGCUGUACCACCACCACCAACAACACCAACAUUCAAAACAACAAUAUCAACAGAAGGUGAGCCAGGAGAGAUCCAUUCAAUAACGUCAUCAAGCACCAUGCCACUCCACAUUACUACCAGCCUAGAAAUGCGUGUCUGUAAAACAUACCUCUUCCACCUGCCACAUAUUUCUUACAGUUGAAAAGUCGUCUAGCAAGGAAAACAGUUUCAGAAGACCAGCAGAAUAGACCCUGGUGAAGGGAUAUAGAGGCAAAUUUUUUUUUUAAAUGCGUGGUAGAAGACUGAAACCGAAUGUGUCAGAAGAGCAAACACAGAAACCAAGACAGCAACACACAUUCCCACACCAUAGGUUAGUGGUCCCCAACCUGGGGUUCGCGGACAUUUAGUGGUCCGGAAAGAUAGUACUUGGGAUCCGGGAACUAAAUUCAUAUAUAUCUAUGUGUAUACACACACAUAAGGUUAGGCACAUUAAAGGGGUCUGUUUUGAAACUCCUUUUGAUAAAAGCUCUGAGAGCCACAGUGAAAAGCUUAUGAAUCUCUUUCUUCACCAACACAAAUAUAAACAUCUCGAGCUAACAUUACAAUCAUCUCAACAAACGAAAAUACAUAGCACUCCAAAACAACAUGAACACAAACCCCAAGGCAUCGGGAGUGAAGAGCACUCCCGAUGCUCUGUGAAUGAACACUACUAACAUUACAAAUAUAUCAACAAAAAAUGCACAUAGCAACCCUGUACAACAACAUUAACAGCAUUCCUAAGGCAUCGUCAAUUACACGGCCCUAGACACAAAGAGUAAGAACUAAAUGAAAGAUAUUCAAAAACAAACAGACAUAACUCGAAAGGAAUACAUCAUAAACCGGCACAACACACAUGUUCACGUAAAAUUUAUAAAACAAAGCAAAACAAAUAUUUGCUGCACACUGAAAACAAAACAUCGCCAGAGAAUUUCAAAUUUCCGUCUGACCGUAGGCAAAAGACUCUACAUAGAAAUGCAAGUAGAGAAACCAACAUAUAGCCAAAAACACACCACUUCUAUCUCCAGAGAAUUAGGAUGGUUAGUUCUCUUUAUUUUUCUCUGGAAGAAACAUGGCUUUGCUCACUGUAAGCAAUAUAAAAUUAUGGGGCCUGGAAUUGCCUUGCAAACGGCAACCAACUUCAUGACAUUAGAUCACUAAAUAUUAGAUGCCAUGGUUAACAGUGAAACCCAACUUCCCACUCGAUAGGUUUCCACACCAAUUUUCGGUGGAUACGAGAUUUAAUUAUUUCCAUGUCAACUACGAAUAAGCAGUGGAACUGGGCGUUGUUCCUGAAAGGUUUCAAUCUCAAAAUAAGGGUCAUUGGCUCCGAUACAGAAAUUAAGCUGUUAUUUCAGGAUGUAAUCAGGAACAACGGGUUACUUUCAGACUUCUAGCUGCCUAUGCUUCGACAGGAACAGGCCAGACGUACUUCCCCACACCCUGUAAAUUUUCCUUGAUACGUCUUGAUCUUAAUAUGAGACUGGAAUGAUAUCUCCGACGCAUGUUUAGAUAGUGUUGGGGUGGCUAUCAGGAGAGUGGAGUGUAAAAGCCUAGUAAGACUGCUCGGACGUUUUCACCUGCCCGGCAGUUACCAAGUUAAUUUCCCGUAUGUGCCGUUGUGGUGAUGACCUCAUCGGCUCAUCUAGGUCGUACCAAUGCAGGGUAGGUAUGUAGAUAUUGAUAGCAUAAGUUGUACACAUUUCGCUUUUGGUCGGCUAACAGACCAAAAAUUGUUGUCUGCAUGGCCGACCUAUAUACGAUCCAUAUGCAGCGACCUAGAUGCCGGAAAGUGAACACGUCGAUCCCGGCGUGAUAAGCUUACAGAGUCCGGAUUAUUGAAUUAGUGCAGCUGGCGUUCACCUGUCAAUUUGUCUGUAACAAAUGGUGGUUUGCGGUGAAAACAGCAAUUAGAGUAGAGAUUAUUAUGUUUUUGGAAAACAAAGCAACAGAAGAAACAUAUUAGAAAGAAGUUAGAGACUUAGAAGGUGGGUUUAGGAAAGAUAUCAGGGGGACAUUGGACCUGGACCAAUUCCUUUCACAUUUCCGCUCCUCAGUCUCUUCAAGUCUCUAAUUAGUUUUUGAUGAUUCUCAAAUUUUGCAAUCCCUUAAUACAGCGUUUAUCAUACAGCUUUGCAAAAUCUAUGACCUUACUCUAUAUUUCUGUUCUCUAGAACCAUAUCUAAUCUCGUUGCUCUUGCAAAAUGAUGCGUUUCCUUGGAAAAUGUAAUUCUAUUUCAUCAUCAACGCUUCUAUCUCAUAUUUAUAACGCUUUUAUAUCACUUCAAAUAUCUAAACUUGACAAACCUUGCAAUACGGGCUUUUAUCAAUACAAUCAUACCUGUGUUUAAACAAUUCUUUGCUUCUAUGCUGUAUGCUUCAUUUAUUUAAAGAUGGUUAAUAUUCCCCUCCCACUUCCCAUACAGUCUUCAUUUGUUCUGUUUUAUCAAUAUUCAUUCGUAUGAAAUUCCUUCUUCAUGUGUGACUUUAAUCAGCGAUUUGGUUUCACCUUUCAGUUUACCAUCUGUCAGCUGCAACCAGCAUUCUUCACUUGCAGCAUCCUAAGUGAAGGAAUUGCCCAAAUAAUAGAAUCUAGCUUCAUUCGAUUAACACGUUUGUCUCCAUCUGUUCUCACAGUCGAUUUCUGUUUCAGUAACUUUUUCUCCAUAUUUCUGACCGCUAAAAAUGUUAUUUCUUUAUUAUGCCUAAGAUUGGGAUUUAUUAAAAGUUGUAUAUAUAUAUUGUUAUAUUUCGAAUCAUAUAGUUUAUAAAAACACACGCAUAUAUUUAUUGGCUAAACUGGCAAUAUACAUCCAAAUAUACAAUAUCUGUUUCAACACACGACUUCACAUAAAAAAUCUUGCACAACAAAUAUUUAAAUGUAUAUAUAUAUAUAUAUAUAUAUAUAUAUAUAUAUAUAUAUAUAUAUAUAUAUAUAUAUACAUACAUACAUACACAACGGGCUUUUAAUUUCUGUCAACCAAUUCCACUCGCAAGGACUUGGUUGGCCCUAAGCUAUAGUAGAAGACACUUGCUGAAGAUGCCAUUCAGUAGGACUGAACCUGGAACCAUGUGGAUGGGAAGCAAGCUUCUUAACACAGAGCCACGCAUGUACAGGGAAUCAGCCACGAGUGGUGAUUUCCUGUGCACAAUGUGUAUUUUACAUUUUAUUUAUUUAUAAUCGAACGCCACGCAGCCCUGUUCACAGUAAGGUGUUAUAUAUAUAUAUAUAUAUAUAUAUAUAUAUAUAUAUAUAUAUGCAGAGAGAGAGAGAGAGAGAGAGAACCCUGACCUGUGUAUAUUCUCUCCCAGCAGAUCAGAGAUGAAUACCACCGACCAUCACCUCGGCAAAGAAGAAAAGAACGACAGAGUGCAGGAGUACGUGGACCAUUCCACUCAUAAUCCUGAGAAUACCAAUCAGGUGUAAAAAAUGAUGGCGCAUAUUAUAAGAACUAGUAAAAGAACCACCUUGAAGUACCACAUAGUGAAUUUUGACAGAAAACUAUCCGUGCAGCUUAAAAGGCAGCCAUAGAAGUUGGUGUGGCUGGAGAUGAGUCCGGCCUCUUCGUGAUCUGAUGGGACAGAAAAUUUAAACAAUCGCUAGUUGAACAAUCUUCAAUUGUAGGUAUGUAGAUGACAUCAAUAUUCUAGAUAGGACAAACCAUUGUAAAUAUAGCUUAGACACCGAGAAGACAAUACGGGAGAGCAUCCAGUAUAUAGCUAACUCCAACCACCAAAGUUUCAAGGUAACGACAAAUUACCCCACUGGGCACCCUCACAAUAGACUAACUGUCAUUGAUAUUGAACUUUGGUUAGAGACUGUAAACAACAAAGUAUAGGUCCUCCACUCGUUUUACAUGAAACCCAUAGCUUCUAAAUAUGCUGUUAACAGGGACCCAAUUGUAUCAUACAAUACUAAAAUCAAUAUACUGACAAUGAAUAACGUGCGCCGCUAUGCGAAACCUAUGAAACUUCAUGCACCAGCAGUCAAUGCUCUGGAAAGGACCACAUAGAAAGGAUUUGUAUAUACAAGUCAUUUAGAAAUAAAUUUGCACUAAUGAAAACUGCCAGGUAUAUAAAAUAACUCCUAGCAUUAACUGUAGAACUAGAAAUGUACUCUACACCAUAAAGUGCAUAGAGAGGACUUAUAAAAACAAAAUACCGCAUGCAUUGUAGAAACAUCUAGAAGUAUUGUGGACAGACUAAAUGAACACAGGAAUAAAGCAGACCUCCAUAUAUAUAUAUAUAUAUAUAUAUAUAUAUAUAUAUAUAUAUAUAUAUAUAUAUGUAUAAACAAACCUCUCCUUAGAACACUACCCAACAUUUCCAUAUAGAACCCCAGAAACAAAGAAAUAUUCAGCACAAUCAUACAAAACCUACCGAUACUGCACAAGGACCCAAAACUAAAAAGAAUUUUACGUGAUAUUAAAAUUGUCAAAAGAAACAAACAACCUAAGUCAUUCAAGAAACAGCUAACUAAUGCAAAAUUAUUCCCCCCCACCCACAACAAACCCAAAGUAAAAAUAUGCAAUAGCUCCAACUGUGGUACAUGCCCCAAACUUUUGGAAGAGUCAGAAAACUAUUUUAACCAAGGGCAACUCUUUAUAAUUAAAUCAAAUUUCCCUUGUGCAUCCCUAAAUCUGUGAAUCCCUACGUAUUCACAUGCUCGGAUGGCCAGAAAGAUUAUAUCGGUGGCACGAGGAAUUCUAUUCGUCAACGUUGUACGGUCCAUCGUCAACAGAUAGCCUCACCACAACACCGCCAAAUUUAUCUCCCAAAUACAACCUCAAUUUACUAUUUUCCCUCUAUAUAAAUUUGCUGACUGGACUUCUACACAAGCUCGACUCAAUUAAGAGACAUUUCAUCCAAUAAUACAAACCUGAACUAAACACCAAUUCAUUUUAAUUGUAUUAGUAAUGGUCACUUAAUUACUUGACUCUUGGACACUCAUGCAUAUUCAGACGUGAGUCAUUUGUGGUUCGACAUGACUCUUAUGGAGAAAGUAUUCAUAUCUAGGCAAUUGCUUUAUCGUUCAUUUUCUAUUAGACUGAUUUAUUUUAUUCAAUUAGGAAAUUUCAACAUAUACAAAAAAGUUAUAUAUCUAUUACAACUACAAUGUUUAAAUAUAAAUUUCUAUUCAUACUUAUAUGUGUAUUAUGUGUAUAUAUAUAUACAUACAUACAUAACACACACACACACACGCACAUACAUAUAUAUAUAUAUAUAUAUAUAUAUAUAUAUACAUAUAUAUUUUACAAGAUGGAAAAUGUUAGAGCAUAAGAUAUGUGCAUAUACACUCAUUCACCCAUUACUGGUUAAUCUUUAAAGCCUAGUACGGCAAUAUAAUUAACUGUAACUGUAUGGUCCCCAGAAGCACUGAAGAGCUUCAUAAAAAAUAACAGUUGCUCCCCUUGACAUAUUGCUUCAUCGCAGUUCACUUUUUUCCAAAGAUGGCGUCCUAUUGACAGCAAAGAAAGUUUACUCUAUAUAAGCUGACAAUCGUUAUUUAUCUUGUAAUGAUGUAAUGAAGUAAUGUGAUCCUAAUAUCACAAUAAAUUUUAUUAUACAAACAUUCUGUCACUUACAUUUUUCUUUCUUACAUACAUACAAACACACAAACAUACACUUACCAAUACAUGAAGAUGAAGAAUACAUGCAUACAUACAUAUGUGCAUACACACGCACACAUACGCACAAACAGACAAAAAAGAACGCGGCUCCAAUAACGGACAGUCAACAUCAUUUGACAAUGUUGCAAAAGGCAACGGCAAUUUUGUAAGAGAAAUAUAAAUAAAAAUGAGUGGAAAUAGAACCUGGGAGUGUGUUAGAUAGUAAGGCAUUAAGAAAGUAUCCUUCUUCGCAUACACAAAAUAAUUUGCUUCAACACACGAAAUCACUCACAGAGUCUUGCAAAUCAGAUACAAAAACGAUGUCUAUUGACAUCGCUUUUCUAAAAAUGACUUUUCAUAUUUUCACUGACCCCCAUUAUCCUCAGGUUCUGUAAGAGCCGACAGUUUGAUAUUUUAUUUCAGGCUUCCUUGGAGUCUAUCCAACCAACAGUUAUAUAUCUUUUUUUUUUUUAAUGUACUCGAACUUCACUUGGGGCGGCGUGCUGGCUGGCAUUAACGUAAGCACGCUGUGAAAAAGGCUUAGCGGUAUUUCGUCUGUCUUUACGUUCUGAGUUCAAAUUCCGCCGAGGUCGACUUUGGUUUUCAUUCUUUCGGGGUCGAUUAAAAAAGUACUACUUAAGCACUGGGGUCGACAUAAUCGACUUAAUCCGUUUGUCUGUCCUUGUUUGUCCUCUCUGUGCUUAGCCCCUUGUGGGUAGUAAAAAAAUUGGUAUUUCGUCUGCCGUUACGUUGUGAUUUCAAAUUCCACCGGUAUUUAAUUUUCGGGGUCGAUAAAUUAAGUACCAGUUACGCACCGAGGUCGAUGUAAUCGACUUUAUCCAUUUGUCUGUCCUUGUUUGUCCCCUCUGUGUUUAGCCCCUUGUGGGUAGUAAAGAAAUAGGUAGAGAUAGGUAUUUCGUCUGCCGCUACGUUCUGAGUUCAAAUUCCGCCGAAGUCGACUUCGCCUUUCAUCCUUUCGGGGUCGAUUAAAUAAGUACCAGUUAUGCACUGAAGUCGAUGUAAUCGACUGGUUCCCUCCCCCAAAAUGUCCGUCCUUGUGCCUAGCGUAGAAAAGUAUUUAAACUUCACCCAGGAUCUUGCUAUCGAUAUAUAACAGCUUAGAAUUGCUCCUUGACUUUUCAACUCCACUUUCUCCUCGUGAUUAUAGAGCCUCCUUCUCCAGAAAGAUACCCUAUAGUCAGCUAUAAGACUAGUAAGUAAUUUCCAGAGCAAGAGUAACUAUGUAAUAUACAUUUAGUAACUGAUUAAUUGUAGUGAAUGAUGUUUGUGCUAUUUGGCUGCUAUUUCUACCAGCUCAUGUAAUUAAUACAGAAGAGAUUUCGUUUGCUCCAUUGUUCAUGAUUAAGAAAUGCUGUUUGAGAAUUCCCUAGCAAAAUUUAUAGAAUAUUUUAUUGCUAUUUUCUGAAACGCUCCUAUUUCAAUCCGAAGAGAUAAUCAGUCAAUAUUUAGAUAUAAAUGGUCGUGUAACAUUCCGGUUUUACCAAUUACAAAUGAGAUGAUGGACAUGUCCUUUAACUGCUAGCGCGUUUUAAAUUCAAUAGUUAAGCCGCUGUAGUUCCCUAGCUUUACAGCUAGCUUCUGCACAGUAUUUAGUCAUUUGGUAUUGCAAUAUCGAUUAUUAGUACACUAUUGUCGUUUUUGUCAUGGAAAAUGAUAUCAACCAUUCUAUGUGCUAUCUGCUGCCUGUCUCUACGCUAAAGCUGUAUAGUGUUUUCACAUUUUUACUUUUAUUGACAGGUGGGAGUUUGUAUAGCUAUCACAAAACUUCUUUGCCAAGAAGUCUGGAAUUAGCGAUCUAGGCGUAUACAGAACCGAUUCUCAAUGCUAUUCUGCCUUCAAGUGUAUUUUGAGGUUGGGGUUUGGGGUGGAAACUAGUGUAGAUCGUUAACAUUUUGUGUAGUCAUGCACUAGCUGCCUCAUAGGAGACUCUUGUCUUUAACAUUAAAGGAAAAGGAGAAAUCCCUCUCAGUACACAAGAAUAUGAUUUCCUGUUAUAGAAAGUCAAAUGUUUACUCCGUUGCCCAUUGAUGUUGACUAUGUUGAUCCAGGUCUGAUACCGUUCUUUUUUCCCUUUAUUUAUGGUAGUUGUUUACAUAUCGGUCAUAUAAAGAUAAGCAUUAAAGGCUACUGUUGCUGCUGUUUAGCUGUAAUCAAUACAGAAUUAUUCCCAUUACCAAACGACUUAUGUAUCUAUCCCGUCAAUACUUCAGUUUAUCUUGGAGUACAAUAUCAUAGACAGCAUUCUAUAAUAUAUAAGAGAUUUUUCUGAUACUUCUUGCAAUUUAAUUCACCAUCUACUGGAUACCUCUGUAGUAAUUCGCCAUGAUUGUAAAAUGUUCCACUUCAUAUCAUAGUUUUAUGUUCAUUUAGUUUAAUGUUUUAUUACUUCCGAAUCUUUAUUACUUUUGAAUUUGUUAACUAGAUAAAUGAUACGUUGCUAACAACUGGCCAUUUUCGACGAUGGUUAUUAGCAAGCCUUCUGAUGAGGUGAGCAAAUUGGAGGAAAUAUAAUAUAAUAAUAAUUCUUAAAGAGACGACAGCAAUCCCUCAACUAUCUCAGGUGUUAUGUUAAACCCCUACCACCCUUGAUAGGUGAAAAUCCGAGAGGUAGAAACAGUUGAGUACCAUAUAUUUUAUUAGUAUUAUUUUUAUAAUUUGUAUAUAUUUAUUCUAUUAUAAAUGCAAAACAACACCACACAUUCGACUCCCGAGCUUCGUUUUCCAUACAGUACGUGCGAUUCUUUGUUUACUCAACUACGGUACACUUGCGCAUUUUCUAUUAAUAUAUUUCAAGUAAUAUGUUUAAAAGUGCAGAACUGUACUGUAUUUUUAUUGAUUCAUUUAUUAAUGCUAAGGCGUGAAAAUACUUAUUUAAACACAGAAACAAUUAAAGUUUAAAAAAAAUAUGAAUACCUAUCGGCCACAGAAACCCACGAUAUAUUGACUAGUCCACGAAAUAAAUUUUUAUAUAUUAGCCAGAAGAAUAUGCAAUGUACUGAAGGCGGGACAGGGGAACCACGAUAUGGUAAGUGAUUACUGUACUGCGAUUGUACUUUCCUUCCAAAAUAUAUUUGCUUGUUAUAUUUUAUAUUUAUGUCGUCAAAUAUUUUCUCUCUAUUACACAUGUAGUUUUACAGUUAUGAAGAAAAAAAACUGUGAAUACAUUCCAGUCUAAUAAUCUUUCCUAGUCUAGGCACAAGGCUCGAAAUGUUUAGAGAGAGAGCCAAUCGAUUAGAUCGACCCCAUGACGUAACUGGUACUUAAUUUAUCGACCCCGAAAGGCAAAGACAAACUCGGCGGAAUUUGAACUCAUAACGUAAACACAGACGAAAUAGCACUAAGCAUUUCACCCGUCGUGGUAACGUUUCUUAUUUCUUUACUGCCCACAAGGGGCUAAAGAUAGAGGGAACAAACAAGUACAGAUAAAGGGAUUAAGUCGAUUACAUCGACGCCAGUGCGUAACUGGUACUUAAUUUAUCGACCCCGAAAGGAUGGAAGGCAAAGUCGCCCUCGGCGGUUUUUGAACUCAGAACGUAACGGCAGACGAAAUACCUAUUUCUUUAUUACCCACAAGGAGCUAAACACAGAGGGGACAAACAAGGACAGAUGAACGAAUUAAGUCGAUUGUAUCGACACAGUGCGUACUGGUAAUUAUUUAAUCGACCCCGAAAGGAUGAAAGAGAAAGUCGACCCCGGCGGAAUUUGAACUCAGAACGUAACGGCAGACGAAAUCCCGCUAAGCAUUUCGCCCGGCGUGCUAACGUUUCUGCCAGCUCACCGCCUUAUAUUCCAGUCUAAUAUUACUGCAGAAAUAAUUAUGACUGAGAUUUCAAUCAUGUUAAUUAUUAAUAAUCACGAAGACAUUACACUGCAGAUGGAAUAUUUCGCUUUAGCAGCCUGAGCUGCACUAAUGAAAGAGACAUUUUCACCUGCAGAAAAUAGAAAGACAGUACAAAGAUACCUUAUAAGCUCAGCCUCAUCGUACAGCUUUUACGAUUAAAGGUACCUAUUAUUGAUUGUUUUUAGAAAUAUAUCUUUUGUAUCAUAGGAGCUGAGUAAAAGUGAUAUAGAGUUACACAGAACGGAAAGUAACCUAUUCGAAUUAGAAAGCAGUAAAAACUUGACAAACGAAUCGACACCAAAGUAUAGACAAAGGUUUCACAAACCAGUAUUUGUAAUUAAAUAUAUAUAUAUAUGUAAUUGUUGCUUAUAGAUAAAAGGAGAAGCUAAAAGAAGAAGAGAUGGAAGGAGAGCAUAAAAAAAAAACUUAUAUGAAUCUCGCUUCACGAAGUGAACCCAAGUUGCUAGAGAAAUAAUUCGGUUUAUGAAGAGUAUAGCAUCAAAUAUGAUUUAUAUGUGUGUGAACGCGCGUGCAUGAAGGUAUAUGAGCAUACAUGUAUGUGCGUAUGUUUUAUACUUGAAUGUAUGUAUAUAUGAGUGUUUGUAUGUAUGUAUUCAUUUAUGUAUGACAUGGAACAGAAUUUCUGAGAGGCAAAUUAUAGCAACAAAAUGAUAUAUAUAUAUAUAUACACAUAUACAUGCACAUAUAUAUAUAUAUAUAUAUAUAUAUAUAUAUAUAUAUAUAUAUAUAUAUAUAUAUAUAAUAUAUGUAUGUAUGUAUGUAUGUAUGUAUAUAUAUAUGUAUGUAUGUAUGUAUGUAUGUAGAAUAUAGUUUUUAUUUUGCUUAUACGGCAGUAAAUAAUAAACAACAAGGCACUCACCAAACAAGGGAACACACUGUGCUGAGCCAUCAAUUUCAAUUAUUAUUCGAAGCUAUUUUAGGAUAUAGUAGUUAAAAGUUUGGCUGAGAGUGAUGCGACUUUACUUAGAUGCUGCUACAAAGUUGGGCGUGCGUCUUAAUUAUCUUGAGCAGAGUGGCAUUCCCUAAAAUUGAAAAGGAACUAAUGUCAUAUGUUUAAGAAACAUAUUUCUCACAUCACUGUAAAAUAAAUAUAGCGAGUCUGUAGUUAAUCCGAACGUAGCACCUAAGAGAACGAAAAUGAUCGUGUACUUUGAUUUGAAUUUAAAUGAUCGUCAAAAGUAGCCUACUGAACCUUAUUUGAUGUAUAUUUUACGCUAAUUUAGUAAAUGCUGACGAUUCUGAAGCUAAUACAAGAACCCAAUAUAAAUAAAGAUCGGCCUUCUUCCUAUUAUGUGUAUAUUAAGACUCUAAAAGAAGGGAGAGGCUUGCAGAAUAAAAUGUAUUUGUAGCCGAAAUUUGAUUUGAUCGGCGCCGUCAUUUAGAAAAAAAAGUAAUUACAGAGUUUAUUUACUUAACAUUUUGUAAUAAUUUAUUUCUAUAAAUAUGCAAAGUCACAUCAAUGUACAGGUUUUCCGAGUAUCUCUUUCACAAUUGCUUUAUUUUAUUUCGUUGAACAAGAUUCCUAAAUAAAAAUAUUAGAUCUCACGCAUUAACUAUAUUCUUUUCUACUCUGAGUAUAAAGCCCAAAAUUUUGGUGGAAGUGGCUUGUCGAUUACGGCGUCUCCAGUAGCGCAACUGGUACUUAAUUUAUCGUACCCGAAAAGAUGAAGGGCAAAAUCGAACACCGUGGAAUUUGAAAUCAGAAUAUAAAGACAGACGAAAUGCCCGUAAGCACUUCACACGACGAGCUAAAGUUUCUUAUUUCUUUACUACCCACAAGGAGCUAAACAUAGAGGGGACAAACAAGGACGGAUAAAGGGAUUAAGUCGAUUACAUCGACCCCUGUGCGUAACUGGUACUUAAUUUAUCGACCAAGAAAGGAUGAAAGGCAAAGUCGACCUCAGCGAAAUUUGAACUCAGAACGUAACGGCAGACGAAACCCCUAUUUCUUUAUUACCCACAAGGGGCUAAACACAGAGGGGACAAACAAGGACGGAUAAAGGGAUUAAGUCGAUUACAUAGACCCCUGUGCGUAACUAGUACUUAAUUUAUCGACCAAGAAAGGAUGAAAGGCAAAGUCGACCUCAGCGAAAUUUGAACUCAGAACGUAACGGCAGACGAAACCCCUAUUUCUUUAUUACCCACAAGGGGCUAAACACAGAGGGGACAAACAAGGACAGACAAAGGGGUUAAGUCGAUUACAUCGACCCCUGUGCGUAACUGGUACUUAAUUUAUCGACCAAGAAAGGAUGAAAGGCAAAGUCGACCUCAGCGAAAUUUGAACUCACAACGUAACGGACAGAGCGAAAUCCCGCUAAGCAUUUCGCCCGGCGUGCUAACGAUUCUGCCAGCUUAAUUAUCGCCGCCUCGGCAGAAUUUACAGCAUAACUUAUAUAUAACUAAAUAAUUUACGGCGUUUUUAUCUAUUUUGUUGGUCUUUCAAUCGACAAAUCUUUAACAAUAGUGUUAUUGAUCGAGCAAGGGUACAUCAAGACAUGUUAUACAAACAAUAAAAUCAGACAUUUACCUAGAUGUAUACCCGUUGAUGUCUUGAUGCGUGUGUGUGAAUGUGUGUCUGGCUGCGGGUGUGUGUGCGUGCAAAACGCCAUUUUUUGUGACAGUAAAAAUUCGAUACAUAAUGAAGUAUGUUAUAGAUACACUCACAUCUAUAUAUAUAUGCACACAAAUACAUUUAUACACAAAUAUAAUUUGCCAUAUGAUUAGAUAUGUUUCAUAGUUAUACAAUAGAUACAUAUACACAUUCACAUAAUACACACACACACACACACACACACACACAUAUAUAUAUAUAUAUAUAUAUAUAUAUAUAUAUAUAUAAUAAUAAUAAUAAAUAUUAAGGAAUAAAUCCAAAUUUACAGGGAAAAAUCAGAUUUAGGAUAUUUUUAAUGAAGUAUGAUAUAGAUACACUCACAUCCAGAUAUAUAUAUAUAUAUGCACACAAAUACAUCUAUACACAAAUAUAUAUUGCCAUAUGAUUAGAUAUGUUUCAUAGUUAUACAAUAGAUACAUAUACACAUUCACAUACAUACAUACACACAUUACACACACACACAACACACACACACACACUCUUAUAUAUAUAUAUAUAUAUAUAUAUAUAUAUAUAUAUAUAUAUAUAUAUAUAAUAAUAAUAAUAAUAAAUAUUAAGUGAAUAAAUCCAAAUUUACAUGAAAAUCAGAUUUAGGAUUGAACCCAAUUUUAUAGUAAAAUAUAAUAUAUGGUAUUAACCAUACAAAAGUGGGGUAUUAUGCAAAUCAAACAACAAGAAGACUUAAUCUCAAUACAUAAAAAAAAUUAUAUAAAUUAAAUAUAAUUAAGAUAUCCACUACGAUCGUUUCUUUGUUUGAUUUGCAUAAUAGUGGUUUUGUCUCUAAAAUAUAUAUUAUAGAAUUAUAUAUAUAUAUAUAUAUAUAUAUAUAUAUAUAUAUAUAUAUAUAUAUAUAUAUAUGAACAUGUUCACAUAUUACUUGAUAAAUUUGUUCGUAAAAACUUUUUACCGGUAUGCCCUAUCUCGUUGGGUAUAUUUUGCGUCUGUGCAGAGAUUGAAAAGUUAAGAUAUACAAAUUAUUAGAUCGACAUGUGGUCUAACGCUCUGUGCAUCUAGAAUUAGGAAGGCGACCCGGUGACGAACCUUGCCUUGGCAAACAUAUUCUGUCUGAUUUGCUAGAAAGAGGUAGAAACUGAUCAAUCCGGGAUAUAUCGUUAAUGGUAAAUGUUUUUGAUUUUCACUCACUCCAUGAAUGUAUCCCUCUUUGUGUCUGUAGCAUUAAGCUUCCUUAUUUGGGAGCCAUUUUAUUAUAUAUAUAUAUAUAUAUAUAUAUAUAUAUAUAUAUAUAUAUAUGUGUGUGUGUGUGUGUGUGUGUGUGUGUGUGUGUAUGUACGUAUGCAUUACCUUUCACUCCGGGAGUUAAACGCACUCUACGUGAGUUUCCUGACCGAUUACACGUGUGACUAGGUUUGCUACAGAAUUUCUAUUUGGAUACAUUUGUGGCACUUCAACGUACUCGUGGUUUUGCAUCUGUUUUUUGCCAUAGUUAUAAGUAAGUAUCCCAUUUAUUUCUUAUCGUGUUCUCCGCUGAUGAAGGUAAAGUUCCGUAUCUAUUAAUCCAAAAAUCGGUCCGAUUCGAUGAUAACGAAAUUUUGAAAAAGAUCUGUUAGCUUCCUUUCCUCGUUUCCAAUAGGCUGUGUAUUAAUAGUAGAAAAUAUUGUAUGAGGUGAUUGAUCAUAUAAAGUCUAUUUCUCAGCAUAUUUGUAUAUAAUUUUCUUUUGUUGCUUUUAUUUAUAAUUGUUUAUAAUUGUCACCUUAAAAGGUAUAUUCAGAUGCUGGCCAUAUGAAAUUUUUGAUAAAACGUUUUAUCCUAUAUCAGAAGCAUAUAUACAUAUAUAUAUAUAUAUAUAUAUAUAUAUAUAUAUAUAUAUAUAUAUAUAUAUAUAUAUAUAUAUUUAUACACAUAUAUAUACACAUACGUAUACCAACAUUAACGAUAAAUUAUACACACACACACACACACACACACACGCAUGUAUAUAUGUAUAUGUAUAUAUUUAAACAUAUACAUACACAUGUGUGUAGAUACGUUAUGUAAACGUUUUGAGCUUUAUAUCCAGACUUAGACGCGGUGGUCCAGUCAGAAAACAGAGCUGUCUCACCUAGUUAUUUGCAGAUUUGACGAGUAGAUCCCUUUUAGGAGCUGUUUACAAAAUAUUCCUUUCAGAAAUAUGUAGAGGGGGAGAGAAAGGUAGGGACAAAGGGAGUGUGAUGCAUAGAGAGACACACACAGACAGACAAAUGCGUUGGUAGGCAGUCUAAACCAUUGUAGGUGAUUGGUAAUUUACCGAACUCGAAAGAAUGAGCUGAAAAUUGGCAUUUGAGAUUACAGAACAUUUCUGCAGAUAUAAAACAGCAACCACAAGAACCAUAUCCAACUCUCUGAUAACACGUCACAUUUGCCUAUUUGUGUGUAUAUCUAUGAUCACACAGGCAUGGGCUUUUCUAUCUAUCUAUCUAUCUAUCUAUCUAUCUAUCUAUCUAUCUAUCUAUCUAUCUAUCUAUCUAUCUAUCUAUCUAUCUAUCUAUCUAUCUAUCUAUCUGUCUAUCUAUCUAUCUAUCUAUCUAUCUAUCUAUCUAUAUAUCUAUCUAUCUAUCUAUCUAUAUGUCUAUCUAUCUAUGAAUAUUUAUGUGUGUAUGUGUGAGUGUGUAUGUGUGCGCGCGUGAGAAUGUAUGUAUAUAUUUAUAUAUAUAUAUAUAUAUAUAUAUAUAUAUAUGCGAGUGUGUGUGUAUGUACGUAUGUGAGCGGUUGUUUAAAUGUGAGCUUCAGCUUCCUUAGAAUUUUAAUGAUCAUAUUUGUGACAUAGCCACUUAUAACAUCUACAAAAUAUUGGUAUAUUAAGUUUAAGAGAAACUGACGAGCAGCAGUGAACGUUAUUAUUUAGGAUUUGCAGAGAUAUCAUUUAUUAGCUUGGACAUACCACCCACGUGUCUGUUUAGGCUCUGGGAUUCAAGAAAAUACCAUUGUUCUUUCACAACACGUCAAGAGAUUAAUAGAUGAAGUUGCCACACAUCUUAAGAUAUUGCGGUUAUCGAUAUAAUAUGGAAAAAAUCUCUUGUUUAUUACCUGGAUAUUCUUGCUUGCCAGUCUGUUUUAUAGUCUUUGUAAUGGUAUUUCGUCUUGAAUUAUAUAAGUCAACUUAUUUCCAAAUAUCUUCGAAAAAGAAGUUAAUUCGUGGAAGAUUAAACGUGGAUAUAAAGUAAAUAUACUUUAGUAAUUUAGCCGUAAUAUCUUUCAAAAUUCUUCAAUCGAUUGGAGUUGUUCCUGAAAGUGUUUCAAGUACCCUAUAUAUAUUCAGAAUUCUUCUUUCUAAUUUGCAAUAUCCAUGGAAAUAUAUUUUGAAUGAAAUGCGUAUGAUGUUACUAAUAAGUAAAGUUGAUUUUUUCAUAUUAAAGAAAAUAAUUUGCGUUUGCUUUUAUCUAUUAAAAGUUUUACACUUUUCACUGGUGUUACAAUAUUUAUAGAAAUCUCUUCAACUCAUUAUUGUGUAAAAUCUCCUUUAUAUUAUUUCUAUUUGCUCUCAUAUUUUUUUCAUUCUGUUUCAAUACUUACACGUACCUUCACACAUACACACAGACACACACACACGCACACGCACACACACACACACACACACACACACACACACACACACACACACACAAACAUAUAUAACUUUUCUUUUUCUUUGGUCAAUAAGUAUUAUUUCUUAUUUGCUCCUAUUUAGAAAUCAUACGAAUUAACUACUAUUCCAUUCUAACUUUGCUUUUGAGAUCUAGACAUCAUCUUUACCUUUCACUCUUUCGGGAUUGAUAUAUUAAGUAUCAGUUACGUACUUGUGUCGAUCUAAUCGACGGCCCCCCUCCCCAAACAUUUUGGGCAUUGUGCUUUCGAGUAGAAAAGUAUAUUUGAAUUAAUAGUCCGAAAGUAUAUAAUCUCUAUGUCAUCGCUUCUCGAAUAUUUAAACAUUUUAAAAAAUAUUCUAUUAGAACACAUAUACCACUUGAAACAAGCCAAAUCAGACCGCUAAAGAGCUAGAAAAAUUUGUUCACAAUUGUACAUUCCUAGUUUAUGUAACUUUUACAGUAGGAAAAUAACGCUUCCAAAACAAGCUCUAUUUUGUGAGGCUGUUUAUCAAACACUCCCAACUCAUCCUAGUAAUAGCUUAAAGGAUUUCACCCAUAUAACGUACACAAGUUAUGUAAACGAAUGGGUUUUGGGUACAAAUCUAUUACUACUUAGUUUAAUUCUCAAUUGAUAAGCACAAGCUAUUUUAAAAAGUUGCAACAAAGAUAUUUUCCCCAUUGUUCCAGAGGAAAUUUAUGUCGAUAAACUAUGCGAUAUAACCGUCAAUGCAUCUUUCAGAGUACGGGACUGAUAUUAUUACGACUCUUGCGUAAUUUCCCCAACGCUUGUUUGCGAAAGAAAUUAUUUGAUUCUAUCUUUAUUCCCUUUACUGUUGGCAAAAGGUUUACCAAACAUCUCAUUUUUUCUCUUGAUAUUUUCUCAAUUCUAAAAGAUUUAAAAGGAAAAUUGGAUCUGUAAUUUCGGUUUUAGUUCUUAUGCAAUCAACAGAGAAUUUAUGAAAUCACGAGAAAUUCUUUAAUUUCGUAUUUACCUCAAGUUAAAAUGGGAAAUAAAUUUAAAAGAAAUGAUGGCAAAAAACAUAUUUUCAAUUAAGUAAAUAAGAAGCAAAUUGAAAAUAUCAUGUUACUGAAAUACAACAUAAAACUUCAGGCAUCUUCAAUUUGUUCCUGAAAUAAAUGUAUCUUUUACCAAAAAGACACAAAGGAAAUAUUUAAUAGACGAAAACAUGAAAUAGGAAUUGGAUUUGUUUCUUUCACGUUUUAUCUUAGUUACCAUAAUUCUCUGAGAAGCACGAUAUCAAAUAGAAACUUAAAUAUCUUAUGGUGUGGUACAAAAAUGGAACGCAGCAAGAAUGUUAGACAUCUUUUUUCUACUCCUUAACAUUUUGAUAAACUCAUGCAACACUAAGGCAAUCUGAAGAAGAAGGUAUGCACAUCGAAUAAAUAUAGCAACAAUUAACGUGUAGGUACAAUAUAGAUCUCGAAAACCUUGAAUAAGCGCGUUACUUCUAUGUUACUGGACUACUAAGUAAAUCUUCGCAUAAAAGAAAUCUUCGCAAACUCUUCGCAUAUAAAUUUUUCUUCACACUUAACAACAUUCUGCCUCCCACCCUCUCUCUUCAUCGUCACUACCUCCCUCAUACCCCACCUACACAUUCCAACCCCACCAUCCCUAUACAUCCUAUCCCACCCCACCCAUUCCUUACAGCCCACCUUGCUUCCCACACUAUCGUAUCCCCAACACACUACACCACCACACCACACACCACCACACCACACCGCAUCAUACCACCCCGCACACACUAGAACUAACCACUUCAAGCACCAACACCAUCAUACACACCUACACAUGCAGACACGCACACGUCAAGGACACCAGCUCCCCCUUCUACUCGCAUGUACACGUUCUCACAUACACAUGCACUCGCACCUUCGUUUUGAUAUCACCACGACUUUAUUAUCUCCCCUUCUUCCUAUUUCUCCUGUGUGAUCCCUCUGUCCGGCAUUCGCCAUGAUAGAUCGCUAGCCACUAAACCAUUAAAAAAAAAUUUUCUCUCACAUUAUUUCUGUGUUCCUUUCUAUCGAAGAGCGUACGCUCGAAACGUAAAAGACUUUCUGAUAAUCAAGUUGUGAUAGAAUGGGAAACGUAUUUCUAAUCAAGUUGUGAUCGAACGGGGAAAAGUAUUUCUAAUCAGGUCGCUCAGAUUCUCGACAUAUGGACUUACUUAAAUCAUAAUGCCUCAUCCUAAUGAAACGGACGCAAUAUAAUCAUAGAUAUACGACGAAUGUUAUAAUGCUGACACGGAGGGGUACCGUCAACCGUCAUCGACUCUUUAGUUAAUAAUAUUGACGUCUGACAAAAUGCUUAGUUGCAUUUCGUAAAUCUUUUCUUUCUGGUUUUAAAUUCUGCUGAUUCGAUUUUGUCUGUUAUCCUUUCGGGGUCGAUAAAUUGAGUACCAGUUACGCACUAAUGUCGAUUUCAUCGAUUAGCCCUUUCUCUCAAUUUUCAGGCCUUGUUCCUUUAGUGGCAAGGAUUAUGUAUAUGUGCGAUGAUUUCAAAUAUUUCUGAUGUGAAAUUUAUCUUUCGUACUUUCGUGGUCGAUGAAUAAUGUUCCACUCAAGUAGAGAGGUAAAUUCUUCAUGAAUUCUCUUUCUCUCCUAUCCAUUUUACUUCUGGUCUUUAACAUUUUUACUCAAAAAGAUGUCGGCUUCGUUUUCACCUGGGAAAGGAUAAGCCCCUCCAGGUUUAAAAUCCUUAGUCACACACUAUUUGAAAAAUACCUACGAGAUAAACUUUCGCUGAGUUCCCCAUGAUCAAUCGUUACCACACAUGCAUAAAUACACAUAUACAUAUAUGAGAAAAUUAUUUGUUGAUUCAUUUCUGCAGCAGUGUACAUUUCCCCAAGACGCCGCUCAGUGGAUUUCAUAACGAACCCAAAUGUUUGAGAAGCGAACUAUUUGUAAUGUAGACACAUUUAGCAUCAGUUGUAUCGUCUGAAAUACUAUAAAUCCGGUGUUGAUAAAGUACGAACCACUUACGUGUUUCCUUGUGCAUCAAGCUCACACUGAAUUCAACCAAUUGCUUCUCCGAUAACCUAAUAUCAUGCUAUAAUACCUAAUUCUCAAAUGCAGGUGUAGCACUUAGGUUAUAUUAUAAACGAAUUAAUAUUUUCUUCCUAAUAUUAAGAGAUUCGACAUACUUCAACGCAGUGCAUUUGUUUGGUUAACUACUCACUAUCUUUAUUUGGUUCAGUGGACGGAAAUGUCAAAUUCGUUCUGUUAUUAAGAAUAUCAGAAAUAGCUUCUGUUUCUGAAAGUCUAGAAUCAGGUCGUUGCAUGAUUGUCUACUGACAUAUCAAUGAAUUUAUUCCUUAGACAAGUUUUUUAAUUUUAUAUGAUAUAUGAUAUAUAUAUAUAUAUAUAUAUAUAUAUAUAUAUAUUUAGAUGGUUGAAAUGUCGCCUGUGUGUAUGUAUAUAAUCUUAAACAAUUCUUUCUCAAUGUUAUUGUCUAAUCCUUGUCCUUAAUUUUAAGUUGUUACAAGUUUUACACAGAUACACGUAAAACCAGGAAGAAAUAAAGAAACAGCGCAUUUUGUCCGACACAUUAAUGGUCCCGUCAGCACCACAACUACCACCACCACCACCACCACCACCACUACUAAUGUUGCUACUGCUGCUACUGCUGCCACAGCUAUAACUACUGCUGUUGUUACUACUACUACUACUACUACUACUACUACUACUACUACUACUACUACUACUACUACUACUUAUAAUAAUAAUAAUAAUAAUAAUAAUAAUAAUAAUAAUAAUAAUAAUAAUAAUAAUAAUAAUAAUAAUAAUAAUAAUAAUAAUAAUAAUAAUAAUAAUAAUAAUAAUAAUAAUAAGAAGAAGAAGAAGAAGAAGAAGAAGAAGAAGAAGAUGAUGAUGAUGAAGAAGAAGAAGAAGAUAUGUUGAAGUUCAGCGCCAAGUCUUUCACUUCAAUUAUUGCACGUAUAACCUGGUUUGGACGAGUCAGUACUAGGUAUGGGUUGCAUAACAACGACUCUUUUGAAGGCAAAAUAUAGAUGAUCAACAUUCAACAUUGUCAUAGUUGCAAAUGGAAAAAAAAUCCACUUAACACUCGAGAUGUAAAUAAGUCGGUCAAGAAGACUUGACCGGAUAUGAAGAAUCGAUUGUUAUGUCGAUAUCAUGGUAAGUUUCUUGGAAGUUUGCAGUGCAGAAGGAGUGUUUACCUCGGGUUUCUAAAGUCAUAAAUACCUAGAGACGUCGUUAAUGAUGUCUGCCUCCUCGGAACAAAAGUAUAUCGACAACACAGUUAUAUCUCUAUUAUUUUGCAGUGAUGCAAAGCACGUAAACCUAUGAACAGCGGCCCACAGGUUGUCAAUUAUAUUAUGUCACAUAUAUUUUAGGAAUCGUUCAAAGCUUGGUUGAUUCUAAAUUUCAUCUUUUAUUUUAUUUCAUUUUAUUUUUUUUUAUCUUCGCUUCUGAUGUUGUAUUUAACUCCUGUCAACCUCAAUCAACCUCUUCUAAAAAAAAAAUAUACUAUUCUAGCAGUUAACAUUCUUACUUUUUCAUUUUUCUAUUUUUCAUUCAAGUGUUUUCUGCUUAGGAAAUUUGAUUUUUCCCCGGAGACGGCCAAAGUGAUUUGAAUGCUUCUUGGGUAUUAUUUCUAAAAGUGUAUAUCAAAGACGUUGUAUCGUUCCGUUUCCAAGAUGGUUGGGGAAGAGUUUAUUCGAAGGAUAUCUGUCUGUCCUGUCUAGCAGCCACCGUCCAUCCAUUAAAUGUCGAAAUGAGAAUCAAAUAUACGUAUAUACCAAGGGUUACUGACUCUUCUGAUAUUUCAGGGAACAUAAAUAAGAGAAUGAUGUAUUGUUUACGUCAGGAGAACAAUUAAAGCUUCAGAUAAGUUGCCGCAGAGUGGGGGUAGCCUAUCGUUGGAGGAGACAACCGAAUUAAAAUUAUUUCCUUUCACAACAAAUAAUACUGUCACGAAACGUUAGUGUUGAGAUUGAUUGUUAUACAUUUCGUUUUCAUUUGUAAAACUUCAUUUGAAAACAAUUGAUAUUUUGCAGCCAUGACAGAUAUCUGCAGACAAAACAAGAAAGUUAAUGAGAGAGAUCAGAGUGAGAAAGAGCGAGAGAAAAGACAUACAGAGAGAGAAAUCGAAAUAGAGAGAGAGAGAGAGAGAGAGAGAAGGAAUACUAUAUAUAAGGAAGUGACGGUAUGUCUGUGGUAUCUACAUCUAUUGUGUAUAAGCAAUAAACAGUUAUACAGUCGUGAUACAUUGAUAACAAUUGUCAGCCAAACAGUUAUCUUUUUAACAAUAUUGACACCACUUUUCUUUAACUUGUUGUGGAUAUUUUUCUUCUGUUUAUUGUGCGUUUGUUUUUUUAUAUGAUUGUUUUGCCGUGGAACAACACAUUUCAGCAAUUUUUCAUUGUUGCUAUUAAAUAAACUUUUGUCUUUAGAGUGAAAUAACUCCUAAAAGAUAACAUUUGUUACAAGGAAGAAGACUAGUUGAACAAACACGGACAUUUCUGCAGAAUUAACUUCGAUAGAAAACAGCAUUUAAUGUCAAAGUGUUAGAAUUUUAUCAUUUUAUCAUGAACUGGUUUAUAACUAUAGUCACACAGUCAGAUGUGAAAAGAAAGAAAAAAUAUAACAAAAAAGAGAAGAAAUAUCAGAUUCCAAAAUAAAUACAAAGACUGCGUUGGGAAAAAUAAUUCCAAUAAAAAAAAUGAAUGACCUUGUGCAACAUCGAAGUUUUUUUGAAAAUUAUUGAUUGAUAAAUAUGUAAAAAAGAAAUUAAACAUAGAAAUACAAAUAUAAAGAAAAGAACAUAAAAAUAAAUAAUAAAAAGACGAUAAAGUGCUAAAAUUCCUUUCUGAUAUUCCACCACCACACAUUUUCUGUAACCAUUCUCAUUUAUAGUCGUCUAAGAAUUCGACGUAUUGCAUAUCUUUCGAGUUGAUCCUAUACCCUUACCCUGAAGGCAGUGUUUUAAAUAUAAAAUAACGUGGUGUACGUCAUUUCAAGUGUUCAUAUGCGUCAGCUUUCUUUUACGUUCUCUAUUGAACGGGUUUAUUUGUUAGACUGGCUACAGUGGCCCUAACACUAAAUAUAUUGAUCUGCAGUGAAUAAAGCCGCGAUUUAAUUGCUGAAAGACAAAGUUACAGAAAAAAUAAGAAAUCACAAUUAAGAUUUUAAUUAGGGAAUGAGAAUAGGAAAAUGUGACAUUUUCUUUCUUGCCAGAGGCAUUAACGUCACAUGUCAAGUGAAAAGGCGUCAAGAAGGAUUCUAUUCACAGAUGAUACAUCGGGUCGUUAAGUAUUUAAUUUUAUUCUAUUUUAGUUUUCACCGAUAAGAUAUUGAUCUAAGAGGUAACAGUAAUUUAUUUUCGAAACAGGGCUUAAUUAGGCAAACUUUACUGAGAUAGAACUCAUUAAAUGCCGAACUUUGAGCAGAAGUACUGAAAUACGUAAAAGAAUUACAUUGAUGAAAAUAUACCUGCUUUUAUAAUAACAACUUCAUCAAACCACAAUUACUUAAGCUCAAAUAACAAUGAAGUUGGUUAGAUUAUAGUUAUUGUAAUGUAAACAAAGAAGAUUUACAAAACAAAGGACUAUUACCUUUAAGGCUUAUUAUACCGGAUGUUGAGUAACGACUUCAUUUUUGUUUGUUCUUCUGUUCUCCCUCCUUGCAGUCUAUUUCAACGUACUUCCUUGCAAAUACUUCAGUUACACAUACAUAUAUACAUACAUAUAUACAUACGUACGUAGGUGCGUAUGUAUGUCUGCAUGUAUAUAUAUAUCAAUUUCUUCACUAUAUUACUAUAUUAUAUCAAUAGUAUGAUAUCGCAAUUUAUUGGUCGAACGAGAAAAUAAUCACGUGGAGGAAAGGAUGUCCAACUAUGUCGAAGAUAAUAUCUACUAAAAGUAUCAAUUCAGUAACUAUUCAGUUAUUAUUGAACAUACUAAAUUAGGUCUCAAUGGUUCCUUACAAACUGUAUAGAUCUCAAGUACAUGGAUGAUUUAAUAACAAAUCUUCAUAUAUUUUUUUUUUGGUACUUGUUUCAGUCAUUUGACUGCGGCCAUGCUGAAGCACUGCCUUUUAGAGUGGUGAAAGAGUACAGCAGGGAUCACCACCUCCUGCCGGAGCCUCGUGAAGCUUUUAGGUGUUUUUUUUCGCACAAUAAACACACACAACGCCCGGUCUGGGAAUCGAAACCGCGAUCCUCCGACCGCAAGUCCGCUGCCCUAACCACUAGGCCAUCUUUGAUUUCCAGAAAUAUUUAUGUAAGUGUUCAAGACUAUAAUUUCCAAGCGUUAAAACAAAUCGAGAUAAGAAAGACGAUGUUAAUUACAAAAAAAAAAAAUUGAAAAUAAAAAAAAAAACAACGAUACCGGGAACAUUAUUGGGAUAAUUAUCAAAGGGAUUUUGCUACUGAGCACCAGGUGAAGAUCCUGGAUAUAGAUGUAGGGCAGCAUCGCAAAAAAUUUGAUACAUCAAUUGCGUUGUGAAUAGAUGGUAAAUAAUAUUUCAGAUAACGACAUAAAAGUCAAUUAUGAAAUUAAUGCCAAUCAUAUGAAUAUCACAAGAAGGCAUUUUAUUUCUACCAUUUCUCAGCCUGGCGUUAAUUAUUCUAAUCUAAUCUACAACAGGACUCAGCUAUAAGGUGCGACGAAUUAAUUUGAAUGUGUAUAGAGAUGUUACCAAGUUCUAGGUUGUAGUUAAUAAACGUUAGACAUGCUACAGCGAAUGACAAAGAAAUUUAUAUUAUUUCUUAAAGAUCCCCAUACUUGGUAAGAAAUGUUCUGUUGAUUCAAGUUCAGCCUGUGAGAAACAGGCCAAAACAAAAUAUUUAUAAGUGGAUACCACUAUUAUAUUUAACUUCCGGAGAUAAGAAUGAAAUAUAAAAGAAACUAAAGAAAAUCAGAACCAAAUAUAGAGCUGACAGGAAAUUUUUAACCAAGAAAUAAAGAUUAAGAAAACUUAUUCCGAAAAACUCAGAACUCUGAAAGAAAAACAAUAACAGAAAUCAACAACCUGAAAACACUUUUAAUAUAAAUAUAUUUGUAUUUUACAACAACAUUGAAAGAGGUUAUAUUUUCUUUGUCCACUGGAAGCCCAAAAUUAAAUUUAGCAAAAUAUAUACAAAAUGAAAGAAUAUAACGCGUAAAAAAAUCAGGAGGAAACUAUACGUUUUCAUUUUCCCAUACAUCACGUUACUUACUACAUUAUUUUCAUAGGAAAUCUUUAUAAUUUACAACAAAUAGGUUCAAAUAAAUUGUAGAGACAUCUUUUCUUACGUGAAGUUUAAAGAUUUAUAAUGUAAAACAACGCACGAUUCCUAAAUCUGUAGUAGAAUAUGCAUGCAUAUAUAUACCUAUAUACAUAUAUAUAUAUGUAUAUAUACAUAGAAACCCCGCCACACACCCCCACACACACACACAUAUAUAUAUAUAUAUAUAUAUAUAUAUUUCAAACUAAUACAUCUGCUGUUUUUACACCUGUUUCGACUUUUGCUUUUCUGUAAAGUUCGAUUUUAUACAUAUAUAUAUAUAUAUAUAUAUAUAUAUAUAUAUAUACAGCGCAGUGUAACGGAUAUGCGUAUAAUAUGGUCAUACCCACCUAAAUCCACAUAUUUAAUUGAUUCUAUCAAACAGGGAUAUUUUGAUCCAUCAAAGUAGGCCCUAAUUAUAAAAGCCAAUAAUAAAAGCCAAAUUUUCCUCAAAUUACCUUAUACAUAAGCUGACAUGGUAAUAGGGUGGAUAAUAUAUUUUCUAGACACACUAUCACUGAAACAAAUCCAGGAUGGCCAUGUCCGGGUACCUGUAAUCAUAAUACUUUAACUUUGGAGCUAAUCGAUACAGAGCAAUCGUAAACCCCUAUCAUUAGAUGAAUGGAAACUAAAGCUGGAUCCCUUGAUUGAUCGGAACUCAUAAUAUGAAGGUAUAAAACUAAUUAAGUAUAGCAUUGAUCCGGUGUUCCAAGAGAUUCGCAUCUUCUCUAAUACGUCUAAGCCGAAAGAUAUUAUAAAUAUAAAUGUUUAAAUGCAUUGUAAUAACGUUAUAUCUUCCAGACGAAGUGUCCAUUAUACUACAAUCUUCCGAGUUUCUAUUCAAAGAGUUAUUAAAGAUACAUCAAUGCUAAUGUUAGUGAAGGAUGUAUUUAUUCAAUAUUUCAGCUUCUGUAAACCUUCUCUACUUAUCACUUCUUGUCUCUCAAUAAUUAAUUCCGUGUCUGAUAUAUCUUUGCAUAAAGACGGUCAGUCGUAUAGGUCUCUAUAAUAUGUAAUUAUAUUUUGAAAACUCAUAAGAACUUCUUAUCAAAUGUAUUAACAUACGUCGCCCAACAUACGAUACACUUCCAAAUUGAUCAGUAAUUCAGAUGCAUUUAAUUCUAUUAUUACCUACUUAAAUUAAUACUGUAUUUAACACAAAUGUUUAAAUGCAUGAGUUUUAUAAAGCUAAGUUUUGAUUUGUUAAAGUUAAUGAACUUUUGUAAUGGUUCAAAUACAAACUAGUCUACCAGGCAGAAAUCAUGUAUCUCGUCCAAGUAUUUCCUGUCAAUAUUUUGCUGAAGAUUUCCUUAGUAAGUUAGCGCUUGAAAAUUGUAGGAAAAAUGAACUAAGUGUUAUAUGUUUAUAACUACUUAGAUUAAACCAUUUGCAAAUGUAUCCAUUUUACCUGGAGUAGAAUACAGUAUAGUGAGACAAGUUAUAGGUAGUAAUUCAAUCUUGUUAAUCUAGUUGUAAGAGCAGUACUAGACAGCAAGAUUAGUGUGGCAAGUUGGGCAUUGAACUACAUUUUGUUCAUAUUUCUUUUGAUAUGCUGUGGUGCAUCUUCAAAGGAAACCUUUAAGGCAUAACUAUAUAUGAGGAAGUGUUCAACCUCAUCAUGUAAAGGUAGUUUUGUUAUGUUUACAUUCAUCAUUCAUGCAAACAAAUACAAAAAACGCACAAAUACACACACACAUAUACACAAACAUACAUAUACACAUAUAACUGAAGUAUAUAGCUUCUUUGCCAGGAGUACUUUACUGCGUAUUUAACCAGUUUUGUAUCCAUUCCCACGCAUUUACACUCUAAAUUUAUAUAUCUUAAUUUGCAUAAUUAUUCAGUUACCUUCUAAUAAAUAUUACUUCUGUCAAUUCAAUACCAUAUGUAAUACGUUUGUGAAAGAUUUUGAGAACAUGUCAAACACUUGUAUAUUUUGGUCAUUGUUGCGCUUUUCCGGUGAUACAAAUGUCAGAAAUCGUCUCCAACAUUUAGCAAUAUACAUGAAUUACAUAUAGCAUCGUUUGGUUAUUUCUAGGCUAGAGAUAGUCGGGCACCAUCAAAUUUCAUAUCUUAUUUGUGGUCUUGAUGAGUGUUUGUUUCAGACACAGUGCAUCUAGGACAAAGUUAUCAUAAUUACCACACAUUGUUGGAUCUGUAUUACAAUAUUCUUAUGUCAUUGUCAACUGUGAAGGUGAUACCUUAUAAGAUUUAAAUCUCUAUAAAUAACAGCCCCCCUCUGUUGUGAACCACACUAAAAUCUGUAUUAUACUGAAGGACCUAUUGGAUUAUGUAAUUCGAGAACCACUAUUAAUAAAUGAAGCAAAAGGGAAAUUAGUUUCUUUUCCCAGUGAAACAGCAUGCGAUGCUGGCGCACAUCUUAAAUGAUCAAGGCUGAAAUGGCUUUCAAAAUUGUUUUGCUGAAUUAGAUUUUAUCUGUAGCUAAGCAUCACCGCCAACAUCAUAAACAACAACAAACACUAAUGUCGAAAGCCACAUAGAAACGCUGCCCUUGUUUGAGCACUAAUAACAUAUUGAUUUCGGAUACUACAUCUAAGGUGGUGCUAUCAGUAAAAAAUGGAAGAUUGUUAUGUUGACUUCCGUGACAGAAUGUAAUCUUGUAAUUUUAUAAAGAUUUUCUUCUGUUUUACUUGAUUUCAAUGGCUUAGUCGCUUUUUGAAGAAACUUCAAUGAACACAAGACGAAAAGGGGGACGCGACAUGGCCGAUUGAUCUUCAGGUAAUAGCAGCUAAAUCUCUCUCGUCACACACUACUAUAUAUGUAAAGUUGGGUCGGUUGAAUAAUAAAGUCAUAGAACCCCAUAAGAAUAAGAUAAUGGGAAACUGACAUAAGGGGACUGGCUUUGAUUAUCGAUCUACUUGAUCAAUGGUAACUUUCGAUUACCUCCAAUAUCAUCAAGCAUUGAACUGAAUAACACAAAUCAUAGAAUGCUAAAUCUUUACUUGAAGCAAUUUGGACCCGCAAACAGCAAAAUCCGUCACCAUUUGUUACGCAGUUGAACAUUUUACCUGUUUCAAACCUCUUAAUUAUCUUCACAAUAACAUUUUGCGAUGCACUGCCACGAUGUUUUUUUUUUUCCAUUUUCAUAUGAAAUGCUCUUGUAAAAGCUACAAAAUUAAUUGAUAAAACGAUAUUUCCCGCUGAAAAGGUUUCAAGGAAACAUGUCAGGCAUGCAUAUUAUCCGGUAACAAGAUCAGAUAUGAUAGUUCGGUCAUCCGGUUCCAUUGAAAUGCAAAGAUAUCUCUUAGCAAAUAUUUGAUGGCGAGAUAGAACAAGGGUAUCAAACGGUCAACAUCCUUAACAGUGUUAUAAAAUGCAUUUCAAUGCCAUUAUAAAAUCCUUGAAUUAUACAGUACAUUAAGAAAAUGUUUCCAAGGGAAGGUCAUCUUAAAUCGAUGUAAUUAACAGAGACUAUAUUAUUACUGAAGCGAUUCACUGCAAUUAAAUCUUUACAUGAUCAAACUCAAACACGCCACUAAAGAAACUUUAUGAAAAAAGGUGUUUGUCGACAAUACUGAAUGAAAUUUUCGUGUGCUCUAUAAUGCGCAACUUACUACAUUAUAUUCAUGAGAACUUGCCGUAUGCGUACUCAGUACACAUAAUCUACACUGUGAUAUUUCCCGGCGGUUAUAUAGAAAAUGUGCAGUGUUCACUAGCUGCAUGCGUUCUUUCUCUAAAUAUACUCUCCCCUCUACCACACACACUUUAUAUAUAUAUAUAUAUAUAUAUAUAUAUAUAUAUAUAUAUCAAUAUGAGGGUGAGAAAAUUGGAUAUUAAUUUGAUAACAUCAAUUUAACACCAGUGGUUUAGUGCAUAAAAAAACGAGAUUCAGUAAAUAUUAUUAAUCAUAUAUAUAUAUAUAUAUCAGGCCUGUGAAAUAUAAGCAGUCUCUGAGUCUAAGAGCUAUAUGCAUAUACAUCGGAGAACGGCACGUUACUGUAGUGCUUAACCAAAGAUAGCACCUCUUAUGGAAUUACUUUGCUUAAAAAAGACUUUACGUCGAAGGGAAAAGAAAAUCGCUGCAGCUGUGGCACGCGAGAAGGCCAAAUGCCUGUCGCCCCAGUUGAGCUAUAUCAAAGCGUGUACGCACAGCCAGUCACAUGGUUAGAUGAGAUUUAUCACCUCCGAUAUACAGGAGACAUUAAGUAACACAUUUGUAGAUAUUCUAAAUAGUGUUGUGUCUGAAUAAAAAUAGAAUAUAAGUAACCGAAUCAAAUUAGAUGAAAAUAAUUGUCUUCGCGUCUUACUUAAUGUAAAUAUAUAGUUGAAAGGCAAAGAAACGUUCUAAAAUAUACUUUCAGUUAUCUAAGCUAUUCCGUACUGGUUCUUUUUAAACUUUGUGGAUUUUAAAAUAUUACAAAGGUCGCAACAGUACAUUUUAUCAAAUAUACAUAGCUAAUACCUACGGAAAUAAUACUUACUGUCCACGCCAAAUCUAUAGGCAGCAAAAAUAAUUUCCCCCUGGACAUCGUAGUGCCACUUUUAAUUUUAUAAGUGUAAAACUGCUAGUUAUUUUCUUUACGAAUCCAGGUUGGUUUUCAUUUUUAUCCACAUAAUUUUUUCUCCUCCCAGUUUCCUUUCUCUUUCCCUCCUGUUUGUUUGUCUGUCUGUCUGUCUGUCUCUGUCUGUCUGUAUGUCUCUCUCUCUCUUUUCUCUCUCUCCUGAUAUACGAACAUAUCGUAUAUAUAUACGAACAAAACGCCCCCCGUCGAAUGGAGAGGGGCGGAGUUGUGCAGCAUUUAAACAAAAUUUUCUCAAAGCGACUUGUCCGACCGUCCCAUAGGCCUCCCCUUUGAGAAACACUGAUUUAAUCUAAAUUUGAGACUCUAGUAAAAGAAGAAAUAAAAAUAGAGUUUUUUCUAUUCCAAAGAAAAACGAUUUUAUUCACAAAAAUAUGCAACCGAAGAGUUUAAAGUACCAAUAAUGAUAAGGCUGUUGAUUGGGAGAACACGAACACGGUUUAAAUAGUAAGCUUGUCAGGAAAGAAACGUGAAUUUAGGCAAUACAAAAACCACAAAAAAUGGAAGGUGCAGUUAUGUACAGAUUGACGGAAGAAAGGCAGGACAAAAGCGGCUUUAUCAAUCGCAUUCUCACCUGAAAUCGAUUCUUGUAUUUUUUUAAAUUUUUAUACACGCCCUAAUACCGUUGGUAUCUACAUAUCAAAUUUGAGCGCAAUCGGAUGCAAGAUGCCCGAGAUCCUACAAGACAUACAGACUGACAGACAGAACGGAUUUUAUAUAAUAGAUAUAUACAUACACACAGACAUAUACAUAUACUUACAUAUACAUACAUACAUACAUAUAUGCAUACAUACAUAUAUAUAUAUAUAUAUAUAUAUAUAUAUAUAUAUAUAUAUAUAUAUAUAUGUAAUGAAAAAAGGUAAGAUAAUUAUCCCCUUAUCCAGGGUAUACGGCACAGUUAAUUAGCGUUUUAAUAGAGAAACAUGAAUAUAAAACGAAGAAAGAGAAGGCAAAUUUCAAAGUGUUCCUAAUCACUCAAUAUACUUCACAGCUUCAGGAUACUUCACAGGAUACAUAGGUGCACUCAUAUAUAUGUGAUAUAAUAUAAAAAUAUAUAGAUAAUUAAAUAUAUAAGUACGUACGAAUCAUAAAUGUACUUGCAUGAGAUCUUAUGAUGCUGUAUGUCCGUAUUAGAAAUCAAUGAGGAUAUUGAAAGAUGCAAAUGGUGAAUGUAAAGCAGAAAUCGAAAUAGAUGAAAUAGUGGUAUAAGAUUAUUUUAAGAAGAAUCUUCUGACCACCAUUUCGAGAAUAUGCAGAUUGAGAUGGACGAACUAUUUCCAAUAAUAACGGUCAUCCACAUUAACACAUAUUUACACACACACACACACACACACACAGAUAUAUGAAUACAUAUAUAUAUAUGCAUGCAUGUAUACAUUCAUAGAUUCACACACACAUACAUACACACACAUAUAUAUAUAUAUGUAUAUAAAAAUAAAUAUAUAUAUAAUAUAUAUUUAUAUAUAUUUAUAUAUAUAUUUGUAUAUAUAUAUAUAUAUAUAUAUAUAUAUAUAUAUAUAUAUAUAUAUAUAUAUGUAUAUAUAUAUGCCUAUAUGCCUGCAUAAAUCGCAUAACAUCUUCGGCUAUAUCGGUUAAUUCUGGAAGUGAAUUUUCUCUAGGCAAUUGUAAUAGACGAUAACAUUACGCCUAUUAACAGGGUCGAAAUACUAAAGUGAACUUGGAAUACGUAUAAACAGUUAACUUGGUACAUUCUCAGUGGUAUCUAGGAGAUCGGUGAACUUUAUCACUAAGAUAUAUGAGCGGACUAGUAUAAUAUUGUGGGCCAUAGCUCCGGGCGGGGAAUAAUUUUCGGCCACUUAUACAUUCACUAUAUAAUGAGUGCUUAUUUUACAUACUGAUAUGUAUAUAUAUAUAUAUAUAUAUAUAUAUAUAUUAAUAAAAGAAUUCCAACCUUGUCUGAUUUUCACGUUUUAUUUACAAUCUUAUAAUGAUAUAUUAUAAGAUAAUAUAUUAUAAUUGAAUAAAAUAAAAUGAAAUAGUAGAAUGUUAAAUAUUCAUUCUGAUUGAACUAGUACUUUCAUGCAUUGAAUUCUGCAAUCUUCGGGUUCAUGUAGUAGUGUUGACAGUCAUGCUUCACAAUUUUUGACUGUAGCAAGAUGAGUGAUUCUGUGCUAUAAAUACAGCUGGGUAGGCUCCAGAGUGCUAGGUUUUGCAAACUGUAUUCUGACCAAUCAGUGUGUAGUAUCACUCAAUUACUUAAGCUGAUUGGUUGGUUGAGCUGAUUGGUUUAGGCAUCACGCUUUGUUGGACAGGUCAAGAGUCCUGUAUCUUGACCCUGGCCGAAGCAGCAAUUGUUGGGUUAUUUUUAGAAAUGUUGUAAAUAUCCUUUGUCAGAGAUUUUUAUAUUUUUAUAUUUCAAUUGUCAUCAUCAUCAUUGUCAGCACCUUAAUUAUUGUUGCUAGUGGUGAUGGUGGUGGCAAUAGAACUUUUAACCCUAAAUAAGAUAAUUUUCCUGCUAUCUUCGUCUUGAUCACCUUUAGUAUUGUUGUUGUUGUUAGUGGUCAUGGUCGUAGCAGUGGAAGUAAUACCUCUAAGUAUUAUUAUUAUUGCUUAUUUAGCUUGGGUUCGAAUUUAUCAAUAAAAUUCUUUUCUCUGAUUUUCCUCUCGAUUUCACUUGGGCUGUGUAAUUUGUAGAAUGGAAAUAUUAUAUAUAUUUUCCGACCACAUGUUGCUAGGUGGUUACUCAAAGGUAUCUGACGGACCUCUGGGUCUCUAAUCUGUUGCCGGUGUACACGUGAGCGUUCUAAUAGUGCGUUUCCCGUCUGACCUACAUAUAUUUCUUCACAAUUUGGGCAUUUGAUGCAGUAAAUUAAAUUUCUGCUUUUGCAGUUCAUAUUCGCGUUUGUGAAUAUCUUCCCGGUUUUUGUGUUUAUAUAUUGACCGGUAUGUAUGAAUUGGCAUGUGCCACAUCGGCUAUCAUUGCAUUUAGAUACCGUGAAUGUUUGGUCUUUGUUGCUGAGGUCAAAUUUUGCCUUUGUUAGUAAUGUUUUCAAGUUUUUAGGCUGUCUUUUACUAAGCACCAUAGCUCGAUCCUUGAUUAUGUCUUUUAAUUCAUUACUUUGGGCAAUGAUUGGUAGGUUUGCUUUGGCAAUGUUGAAGAUAUUCUGGUGACAUGGGUUGUGUGUCACUAUGAAUGGUAUGACUUGUUCUUGUUUUCCUCUUCCUUGGGUUGUCCUAAGUUGUUGUAUAGGUAUUUUUAUAGCCCGCUGUAUGCCAUUUUCUAUAAGUAGAGAUGGGUAUUUUUGUUUGAGCAAAAAUUCUCUUAGUUCUAUUAGGCGUUUGUUCCUGAUAUUUGCAUCUUCUACAAUAGUACAAAUUCUUCUGGCUAGGCAGUAUGGGAUGUUACGUUUUGUAUGUGGUGGAUGGCACGACUUAAAAUUUAGGUAUUGAUGUGUGUCUGUGUGUUUAUAGUAUAUAUCUGUGGUGAUGGUGGUGUCUUUUUUAAUUACCAUUAUAUCCAGGAAUGGUAAUUUGGUACUACUCAUCUCCUUUGUAAAUUUGAGAGAUGGGUGCAGUUUGUUCAGGAGGAUAUUGAACUCUUCCAGAGUAUUUAGAGAUUCUGUCCAGAUUAUGAAACAGUCGUCUAGGUAUCUCUUCCAUGCCUUUUCAAUAUACUUUCUAAAUCCAGUGCCAUAGUUUACCUCCACCUCUUGGUAGAGUUGUUCUUCUAAGUAUCCCAUUACAGAGUUGGCGUAAACGGGAGCAAACCUCGUUCCCAUCGCCGUGCCUCUAAUUUGGAUGUAAUUCUUUCCAUUGAAGAAGAAUGUGUUAUUUUCUAGAAUAAGUUUGACUGUGUCUAAUAUAAAUGGCACUGUGAAUCUGCUGGGAAUCACUUCUCUAUGUUUUUCUAACCAGUAUUUAAUCGCCUUUAUUCCUAAAUCGUGUGGAAUAUUGGUGUAGAGGCUUACCACAUCAAAACUUAGCAAAACUGAAUUUGUUUCUGUUGUUUUGGGAAGAUGGGACAGGAAGUCGAUGUCAUCCCUGAUGAAACUUGGUAUGUAAGUACAUAGUGGUUUCAAAACAAUGUCAAUAAAAUUGCUUAGACGGUGUGUAGGGCAUGCUGGACCAGCUAUAAUAGGUCUAAGUUUUAGGUCUUUUGGAUGUAAUAAUUUUAUGUACUCACUUUCUUGUUCUUUUACUGCCUGUUGAAUGUUUUUUGAUUUGUGUAUUUUUGGUAAGCCGUAGAAGUUGCUGGGUUUUGGUUCAAAAUUGGUGAUGUAGUCUUUUUCAUUAUCCGUAAGUGAGUUGUGGUGUGUUGAAAUCAGGUUGUUGAUCUUUUUCAUGAUGUGGUGGUCUAUAUUUGCGGGUAUUUCACAAUAGAAGGUUGUAUCCUUCAGUUGGUCUUCAACCAAAUCCUUAUAGUAUUCGGUAUCCAUAAUAACAAUUGCAUCACCUUUAUCUGCUUGUUUAAUUAUUAUUGUUUGAUCGUUUUGUAUACGUUUACAUGCAGACAUCUCUGAUUUGCUAAUGUUUGGCCUAACAUUGGUAUUGCGUCUAAGGGGAAAUUUAGACAGGAUAUCAAUAUAUUGGUCAAGGUAGUUAUUUCUUCCUUUUGGUGGGGUGAAAUUUGAUUUAUUCCUUACUAGGGAUUCAUCAAUCUCAUUACUUUUGUUAGCGAAGAAUUCUACAAGUCGUAAUUUUCGACAGAAUUUUUGGAUAUCCUCCUUUAAUUCUUGGUGGUUGGCUGUUGGUGUAGGUGUGAAUUUCAGUCCUUUUGACAGAAGUUGGAUUUCAUCAUUGUCAAGAUCUAUAUAUAUAUAUAUUUUAGAGAGAGAGAGAGAGAGAGAGAGAGAGAGGAGGAGAGAUAUAGUUUAUGAGAUGUAUUGGUGUCAGUAAGACCCAAAGGUGUCAGGUAAUACUAAGUAAGUGCUAUGGAUAGACCAUAGUUUUACUCCAAGUUCGGAAAUUAUGCGAAUAAGGAGUCCAACGUAGGUUAUACAUCAGCGUAUGUAUAUAUAAAUAAAAAAAAAACAAUUUGAGAAUGAAAUAAAUGCAAUACCUCUGCAUGUCUCACAUCUAAUUUCAUUCAUCCAUUUCACUCUCUAUUUCGUAUCUUAUCUAAAUUAACUAUCGCUUAACCAUUUUCUCCCACCGUCCCCGAUAAAAUGAUAUGAUAAAUACCCUGGAAACAGCUGUAAGACCUUCUAUUUAUAGAUGUUCUGAAAUCUUCACAGUCUUGGUUUUUUAUCUCAUUCUGAAGAAACAAUAUAUAUAUAUAUAUAUAUACAUAUAUAUAUAUAUAUAUAUAUAUAUAUAUAUAUAUAUAUAUAUAUAUAUAUAUGAAAGAAUGGAGUCGAACGACUAUUUAACAAAAUUGCUUUAUUCUCGACACAUGUUUCGAAGACUGCAUAUUCUUAAUUCCUUUGGAAUUAAGAAUAUGCAGUCUCGAAACAUGUGUCGAGAAUAAAGGAAUUUUGUUAAAUCGUCGUUCGAAUCCAUUCUUUCAUUUAUCUAUAGUAAAACAACACAAAUUUCCACACGAAAGCACGUGAUUUCUGCCCUUGGCAUGUAGAUUCAACCGUGCUUUCUGACGUAAAUUUGCUACCCGGGUAUCGGUUAACCGAAUUAUCCAUACUAGGAUAAUUCAUUCAACUACUUAAACAUAUAUAUAUAUAUAUAUAUAUAUAUAUAUAUGUAUAUAUUAGAAUGUUUGGAGAUAAUUUAGAGGUAAUAUAUAUUAUAAGAAAUAAGUUAUACAGAAAUCUGGACGGUUUUAUAUUUACAGGUAUUUAUUAAUAUGUCACAUAAUUUUAUAAAUCAUAUAUUUGCGCUUGCAUCCACUCAAGUGGAUUCUUCAGAUUGAACUUUUUCAGGAGAUUUCUUUCUUUUUAUGAUAUUAUUGAGUGUGUAGGGGUGGAGAGGGAUAUAGUAUAAUAAAAGAAGAUGAGGAAUGGGAACAAAGUGAGAGAGUGCUUGUGUGUGUGCGUGUGUGCGUAUGUGUCAAUGGAAAACAGAAGGAAAGAAAUAAAGAAGAGAGAAAGUAGAAAAAAUGCGCUUACUUUUAUACAGCUGGUCAGUUCUUUCAAUAGAAAGUGAUUCUAUGUUUUUAGAAAUGGCAAAACCAGGUGGCUACUCCAAGAGGGUAAAUGUUAUAUUUCAAAACAUUGUCUGGAUUUCUUUUUAUCAUUGUCUUGUGAGAGAGAGAUAGAGUGUGUGUGUGUGUGUGUGCAUGUGUAUGUGGGUGCCUGUGUAUCUAAAUGGAGUGUCAAUGGAAAAGAGAAGAAUAGAAAGAAGGAAGAGAGAAGGAAAAAAUAUGUUUAAAUCUUUGCAGCUGGCCAGUUCUUUAAAUAGAAAGUGAUUCUUGUCAUUUAAAAAUGGUAAAAGCAGGUGGCUACUCCAAGGGGUCUCUUGUUUUUCAAAAAAAUUUGUGUGGAUUUCUUUCCGUCAUUGUCCAGUGAGAGAGAGUGUGUUUGUUUGUUUUUUGUGUGUGUACUUACGUGUGCGUGUGUGUGUUGUGGGUGUCUGUGUAUCUGAAAGGAUGUCAAUGGAAAAGAGAAGGAAAUAAAGAAGGAAGAGGGGUAGGAGAAAAUUUUUGUUGACAUCUAUACCACUGUUCAGUUCUUUCAAUUUAAUGUUUAAUUCCCGUGCUGGUAUGGGUUGGAGAAUCUAGAUGUAAGAUUAUUUCUAUUUAUGCAUAUGUACUUAUGUAUAGUACUGUGCGCGCCGGCGCGCGCGCUUGUGUGUGUGUGUGUCUGUCUGUCAGUGUGUUUAAUGAAAUUUACUUUACAAAAUUGCUCCUUCAUCCAGUACAAAUCAUUACAGAAAUAUUGGGGGAGAACUUUGCUAUGAAGUAUUUUUUCAUAUUUCUCUUGAAGAAGGUGUAAUUCCAUGAACAUUUAUAGAAGGGAAAGAUCUUAAAUUUCCCUUCUCCUCAUGUAUCCAAGUGUUUACUCAGUGGUAUCUUUCGCAGUCCCUCCUGCCCAACAUAUUGUCGGUGAAUUCUGGCUCUUUGGUAUAAAGAAUUUCCAGUCUCGCCUAUAUAAUUCUCCUUGAAUGUGGGGCACGUUAUACAUUAUAUUAGUUCUGCGUCUUGAAAUUCAUGUCUGCAGUUAUUUUGAAUUUGUGACCACUCUUAAAUUUUAUUUGGUUGUUUCCCUCUAUAUAUUUGUAGAUGGGGUUACUGCAGAUCCCACACCUACCAUCUCCGCACACUUUUACAAAGAAUUCUGUUUUAGUCUCUGAUGAGAAUUUCGCUCUUGUUAGUUGUUUCCUCAGAUUUUUGUCUUGGCGUUUACUGUAUUUUAUGCAAUAUUUGUUUAAUAGGUUUCCUAUUUCGGGGCUUUGUAGGACCAUAGGUAAGUUUGAAUGUAUGAUUUGAAACAUAUUGGUAACUCCAUGGUUGUGUGUGUUUAUGAAAUAGAUGAUGUUUUAUUUGUUUUUCGUUUUUGGAGUUCUGAGAUGUGUGAUGUCCAGUUUCAUUGUUCUUGAGAUUCCGUUCUUUAUCAAUUUGAGUGAGUAGGAAGUUUGUAAUUUCAUUUAGUCUUAUUUGGCGAGUUUGUGAGUGAGUCACUAUGCUGCAUAUGCGUCUUGCCAUACUCUAUGAAAUGUUCCUUUUUAUGUGGGAUGGGUGGCAGGAGUAGAAAUCUAAAUAUUGGCGUGUGCCGGUUUUUUUAGUAGUAGAUCUCUGUUCUGACGAUGGAGUUGUGUGUGUGUGUGUGUGUGUGUGUGUGUGUGUGCGUGUAAAUAUGUGUAAAUGUGGAUGACCGUUAUUAUUGGAAAUAGUUCGUCCAUCUCAAUCUGCAUAUUCUCGAAAUGGUGGUCAGAAGAUUCUUCUUAUAAUAAUCUUAUACCACUAUUUCAUCUAUUUCGAUUUCUGCUUUACAUUCACCAUGUGCAUCUUUUAAUAUCCCCAUUGAUUUCUAAUACGGACAUACAGCAUCAUAAGAUCUCAUGCAAGUACAUUUAUGAUUUGUAUGUACUUAUAUAUUUAAUUAUCUAUAUAUUUUUGUAUUAUAUCAUAUAUAUAUGAGUGCACCUAGGUAUACUGUGAAGUAUGUUGAAGCUAUGAAGUAUAUUGAGUGAUUAAGAACACUUUGAAAUUUGCCCUCUCUUUCUUCGUUUUAUAUUCAUGGUUCUCUAUAUAUAGUGAGAAUGAAGACUAUACAAUUUUUUUAAAUUUAACAAAUCAUUAACGCACCACCUCACCAGACUUGCCUCACUAAUAAUGUCCUGCACAGCACUGCACUAUUUUCUCCCUCAGUCGGUAUCAAUAGAUUCAACCCUGUAACAUCGUAAGUUACAUUGAUGGCGUGACAAAACGAACAGCUUUUGAUUUGUAUUUUUCGACCAAUACAAUUGGUGUUUAACACUACACAAUCUAGUAAAGCUGAAAAGAAGAAUUACUAUGGAUUCACUGAACGAAACACCAUUAACAUUAUGGCACUCCUAACGUUGAAGUGUCCAUAGUAAUUAACUCUGAUUUGAACAAUAUGUAAGUGUUCGCGCGCUCGUGAAUGUGUUAUAUGUUAUCUUUAUUACCACAAGAAUGUUAACUCUGAAUUUGAACAAUGGGCAUUCAAUACGACUUCCUUACAGUUCUAGCAAUACACCAUCUGGGAUUACUACUUAUUAUAUCGUUCCUUGAAGAAUAAAGAGCAAACCUGUUCUCGGCAGGAACUUAACUCAAUAAGUGGGAUAAAAAUACUGAGAAGAUUUUGCGCGACGCUCUUAUGAGUACCAAUUCGCUUCCGUGCAGAUUCUAUGAUAUUUUCGUCUUGUUUCCUAUCAUGUGGCACUUAUGCUCUCAUAUAUGAUAGACACGAAUUUCCUGCUUUCGUAUUCUUUAUAAUUUAUGUCUCUCACAUGCACAACACUAACUAAUAAUCUUUUGGUUUCCUCAUAAAAAAGUUAACCUACAGGAAAUUCUUUAAAUAUUUCCCAGCAACAGUCGAGCUGCAAAUGAUCUGGUGGAGCUGUAACUGCUAUGCUCUCAGAAGUAUUGCAUUUUCUGCAAAGGACUUCGUUGGUAAUAACAAAUAUAAAGAAAUAUAUAUUUGAAAUCAAAAUUAGGUAUAAUUUAUUAACACUGAAUAAAAUUGAAUUUUGGAUAACUUGUGAUUCUGGUUGUUUACGUAAAUGUUUUGCAUUAAUAUAUAAAUACUAUUGGGUAAACAGCAAUAUUGUUAUGAAAUGUAUUCUCUAGAGACAUAUUACGUACAAUCCAAAAUCUAAAGUUGAAAUAUUAAUUUUCUAACGGUAACUAGGUUAUACAUUAUACAUUUGACUGUUGGACAUUCUUACGGCAUAAUCUCAAUAAAUAUUGGUUUGAAAUUUUAUCAUAAACCAGCACGUUCGUUGUCCAAGCCAUUUAGCCCCCACCCCCACUGCUCAUCUUAAAACUUAUUGACUCUUACUCUUUUACUCUUUCACUCUUUUACUUGUUUCAGUCAUUUGACUGCGGCCAUGCUGGAGCACCGCCUUUAAUCGAGCAACUAGACCCCGGGACUUAUUAUUUGUGAGCCCAGUACUUAUUCUAUCGGUCUCUUUUGCCGAACCGCUAAGUGACAGGGACAUAAACACACUAGCAUCGGUUGUCAAGCAAUGCUAGGGGGAAAAACACAGACACACAAACAUAUACGCAUAUAUAUAUAUAUAUAUAUAUAUAUAUAUAUACAUAUACAUAUAUACGACGGGCUUCUUUCAGUUUCAGUCUACCAAAUCCACUCAAAAGGCUUUGGUCGGCCCGAGGCUAUAGUAGAAGACACUUUCCCAAGAUGCCACGCAGUGAGACUGAACGCGGAACCAUGUGGUUGGUAAGCAAGCUACUUUAUUUCAUAAAUUUGUCAUAUAGACAGUACAAAGAGCUUUGCGGGCUGGACAAACACAUUAAUGAAUGAAAAUGAAUUAUAAUGAAUAGAUGAGAGACGAAACCCAAUACCCGCCGAUUGGAUUUUUCUCGAUAACAUAUUUUCUUUUUUUUUAUUUUUAAAAAUCAAUAUAAGGUUUCAAACCUUUUACAAGGAGGAGGCACUAAAACCUCUUACUUGCCAUAUUUUCUUUUUUCUUUCUUAAAACACAAAAUUGAGGUUAUAAACCACUACAAAAUAGUCCAAUAAGGUGAGGUUUCAAACUCUGUAACGAGGGUCUUUCACCGCCUACUCUUCGAUAUAUCCAUCGAUAUAUUCAUCAUUAUAUUCAAUGCCGCUUGAGUUCCUGUAUCCCGCCAUUUCCCAUGCUUCACUCAUGUAGGACAUGUAAGUCGUGUAAGGGCCACCCGGCCAUAUGCGACACUCCUCCCCAAAUCCUUUAAGCCUUUCCCACAAGAGAAACGUUAUGACCUCCACAGCUAUCAGCGGAGGCCAUUCGGGAUCCCGCAUGAAGGGAUCCUGUUGCUUUAUGUUCUUCUACUAUUUUCCACCUCCCCGCCCAUGUAGAAAAAGAUAAUCAAUUGAUCACCUUUAAGGGUGGGGGUGGUUUCUUCCACCGUGGGUGGCACAACUUCGGAGCAUUCAGUCGACACAUCAUCUCCCUGCUGAGAUACACCUGUUCUUCUUCUUUCUUUUUUUCUUUUCUUCCUGGCUUCGGGAGAGUGGAGUACUUCCGCUUUGUCCGGAGACUCUCCCCCGCCUCCCGAAGCCUCCUCGACCACAUUCACCUCUCUCUUUGACCGGGUAGGGAAGGUGGCAUCUGGUGACUGCUCCAAGACCUUACCAUGGUCCUGGGAGCAGUUCCUUUUAAUGUGGCCUGGCUGCAGGAACGAGUGACACUUUGGGGGACGUCCCUCUAGUAUCACUGGAUACCUGCAGCCAACCAUUUUCGAAAAAUCUGGAAAAAACAGUUCUGUUGCAGCCGAUGGUGUUCACAGGAUCAAAAUCGCUUUUGACCCUUCCCAAUCGACCGCCGGCAAUAUCCUUACAUUAAAGAGCCUGGGCCCGCCAUCCCCCAGUCACGUUCGGAUGGUAUCUUCAAUCCAAUCCGCUUCGGUGCCCGGGGAAGCCCACAUACCCAGGCUAGUAUUAAUUUUCUUCCACAAUAUGAGGGGGACUAACAAAAUGUCCUUGCCUUCUAAAGGCUUACUCGCAAACUGGCGAGCCUUUUCCCCGUUGUCAAACAGCAACCAUACGGUUGCAUGUUUGACACCACGGGAUAUAUAUUUUACAGAGGACAAAUGUUCUUUAAGUUCAUUUUUUAUGAUUUGCUUUGGGAAGACGGUGAUGGAAUUAAGAACUUUAGAAUACGUUCUAAGUACCAUCGUCUUCUCCUCCAUAUCUUUUAACCACUGCUUAGAAGGGUUAAUUUCCCACUCUAAGACAGAGGUUUUCUUUUUAAGUUCCUUCUCUGCAAUGUCAAAAAACAGUUCAAAAGACAGUCUGCCAAAAAAAUUAAGUCGAAUAAAAAUGAAACAAAAUAAAAGAGGAGGGGAGGAAACUGAAAUUAAAGUAAUGAAAAGAAUGAACCAAAAUUUAAAAGAAGGAAAAAUAGGAGACGGGAAAAGUAAAAGAAAAACCUCACAAAUAGCACAGACAGGGAAUCCUUUGUAUAAUACUCCAAAAAGGUAAUCCAAAAGGUAAUCCAAACGGGUAAUCCAAAUGGCUUAUUCUUAUUUUUCUGGCGAGAUACGCCCACUAGAAUUCACAAGAAGAAUUCUCAAGUAAAAAUGCUCAAUUCACCGUUACGAUGAUGAGAACCCAGUAUUUUGCCCGUUAUAGCGAGCCAUGAUUGACAAAUUUUCUUUGAUCUUUUUUUUCUGUUCACGGAGCCGAAACUCACAUCUGCUCACUGUAACAGUCCGGAGUGAGGGCGCGUGGCUUAGUGGUUAGGGCAUUCGGCUCAUGAUCGUAAGGUUGUGAGUUCGAUUCCCGGCGACGCGUUGUGUCCUUGAGCAAGACACUUUAUUUCACGUUGCUCCAGUCCACUCAGCUGGCAAAAAUGAGUUGUACUUGUAUUUCAAAGGGUCAGCCUUGUCACUCUCUGUGUCACGCUGAUUAUCCCCGAGAACUACGUUAAGGCUACACGUGUCUGUGGAAUGCUCAGCCAUUUGCACGUUAAUUUCACGAGCAAGCUGUUCCGUUGAUCGUAUCAGCUGGGACCCUCGUCGUCGUAACCGGCGGAGUCUUUAACAGUCCGGACCAACUAGUGUUGCAUUCUCGGUAAGCAAUCUACUUACCACACAGCCACUCAUGCGCCUAUCGUCACGAAAGUUAUGAAAGACGAAGUCAACCUCAGAACACAAACACACAUAUGUAUGUAUGGAUGUGUGCACAUAUUCUUAAUAUUUUCACUUCUCAUCCAAUAUCAACAUAUGCUAUGUUCAAAGUGUAAUCCACAUGUAUUUUUAUACUUGUAUACACACAUAUAUCCAUCUGUUCAUGCACACAGUUACACUAUUACACUCACUCUCACAUUUACCCCUACCACAGACACACGCUCACAUACAUAUAUAUUUGUUUAUAUGUGCACACCUAUACACUUCUUCAAAACAUUACAGCUUCUGAAACAGAAAAAAAAUUAAUGCAAUAUAAUAUAAAUAAAGUAUGCAUUCAUAUAUCUAUUUAUAUACACUCUCAUAAACACCUCUUAUAUACUUUCCUAUUGUUUAUACAAACAGAAACAAGCAGAUAAUAUAUAAUAAAUUUAGAUAAAAUAUUUACACAUACGAGUAAAAUAAUAUCAAAAUAUAUACAUUUCUUAAAUAUAUUCUAGCUAAAUUUAUUAUAUUGUUUUAUACUUUAGAAAUGAGGAAAUAUAAAUAAUGGAAACCUAUUAUUUUUUAUAUUAAUAUUAAUAUAUGCUGUGUCCAAAAUCUAACCUAGUUGUAUGUGUGUUAUUAUUCAGUGUAUUUCAAGAUUUCGUGCCAAUAGAAAAAGGUUCGGUUUCUAACCUAGAUCCAAGGCUCCUUCAUUAGAAUUUCAACAUCAUCAACAGGGUAUUUUUGUUUUUAUGUGUAUGUAUGCGUGUAUAUAUGUAUGUGCAAAUUUGUAUGUUUUAUGUAUGUAUUCUCAUGCAUGUAGUUGAAUAUCUAGACAUGCUGAUAUAUAUUUAGAUGAUAAACUUCUUGAAACUUUUACAUAUUUUCAUAGUUCCGGUGAUGGAUUGGAUCUGUAGUCUUCGAAUUAGCUUUCUCCUUUCAAGAUUUGAGACACCUAAUUUUUCAAGAUUAGUAUUUAGGCAGUGUGUAUAUAUAAUAUAUACCAGGGCCCUAAUAAUUACAGGUAUAAACCUGAACUUGUAAUCUGGAUAGAGUCAUGCAGAUUACUCAGUAGUUCAGCUUAGCUGUUCACUUUUUCACCUAUCUUCAGCUUUAUGUUAGCAUCCGCUGGGCAGCUAAGUUCUACAACUGUGCACAGUUUCUCUUCUCUAUCUCAAAUCAUAUCUGGUCUGUUGUGCUUACAUUUUAUUAAGGUCUUCACUGGGACAGUCCACCAGUAUUCUUUUUUUAUUAUGAGUGGCCAUGGCUUCUACCAUAUUGUAGAUUCUUACUUCUUUGACCUCGUGAUUAUCCUUGCAACGGAUUUCCUCAUAGAGUAUCCUAGCUACAACAUUAUGUCUCAUCGGCAGAUAUAAAACCGUGAUAACAUUUUCGAACAACUGCUUAUGAACUGAGGGAUAUCUUCAGUGCGAACUUCACAAAGUCUGCAUCCGUUGUACGUAUUGUAUGUAUGUCUGUGUAUUUGUGUGUGUUUGUGGUUGUGUGUGUGUAUGUGAUAAUGUAAAGACCUAAAUAAUUUGGUUUUAUAACAAUGUAUAUAAAGUUACAGUUCCUCCAUGUCUUCUGAGUAGCCAUAUUAUCAUACGCGUGGACGUGUGUAUGUGAAAUACAAAUCUACCAUAAUAAAUAAUACAAAUGCACUGAAAGUGUCAUUAUUUUCAUUUAUACACUACAUAGAUGUAAAUGCCUACAUACACAUAUGUGUUGGAAAGUGAACAUAUUGUUAUCACAAAAUGAAUGUAUCUAAUAUAUCAAUAACAUACCUCAUUAUCCUUCCUAAUUUAAUAAUACAUUUAACUUUCUUCCAAAGAAUGAAUUAUAUAUCCAAAUUGCAAGAAAACUUAUAGCAAUUAACUUCCUCCUAUCCAUACAUUAAUCCCCAUUUUGAUUAGUAAAUAUAGCCUUAUUCCCGGUAACCGAAAUGGGUUUUUCCAGAUUAUAUUUUCAAGGGACUGGUCGCAGAUCCUGACCAGAGGAAAAGAUUUGCUUAUUAUUAAAUCACAUAUAUCAAUAGAUAAAAUCGCAACAAUUGAAUAAGGUUUAUGAUAUUUAAAAAAGAUUAGUAUAAUUUUUCUUAUUUUUUCGCAUUAGUUACCUGGCUAAAAAUUGUCCCUUCAAGUGGCAUUUGGUGUAUUUAAAUUGAAAUGCAAACACUGACAUAUUUUCUCUAAGAAUGCAAAACCUUGAUUUUCGUGAUUCGGACGUGGAAACGACCAUGUGUGACGAACUCGUCUAAUAUUCUCUGAAAAUUAUAUGCAUAUAAACAUGCAUAUAUAGAAAUAUACAAAGAAAAUAUAUCUAUAUGAGUAAAUGCAAAUGCAAUUACCUACACAUAUAUAUUUAUAUUCAAUAUAUAUAUAUAUAUGCGUUUAUAAACAGCAAUGUAUGAAUAAAUACAUGUAUAUAUAUAUAUAUAUAUAUAUAUAUAUAUAUAUAUAUAUAUAUAUAUAUAUAUAUGUAUCGAUAGAAGACAGAUACAUAGAUACAGACAUUUACAUGCAUGCCAACACUUCUAUGUGUAUGGUAUGCCUGUAUGCCUGUGAAUACAUAUGCUAUUAUGUGUGUGUCCCAAAUCACCUGUUUUAUUGUUUUAGCAUUUUAAGUCGUAAAUUGCCUCCUAUUACAUCAUUGUUUUUAUAUGCUGUCCAUCAUGAUAUGUUUUUGUAUCGAAAAAAGCUCGCAUCAUUUUCUUAUAAUAUUUAUCCAGAUAGCUAUUGCUGCAAUCAUAUCUUGAUAAUCUCAUUUCAGUCACUUAUAACAACUCUAUAAACAGCUACUGCCACUUGUAUAUGGAGAUAUGCCGAUUCAUUCUCUGGAGAGUAAGAUAUUUCUAAUAUAUGGCAGCUAUCACACGAAUGGGAUUUCCUUAUUUUUGCAAGAUAAGAAUGCUAAUGCCUCUGGCUUUCUAUUUUGAAGUUAUAUCAAUGCAGAAAUUUUGGUUCAGAAUGUAACGUGGGUAUAUACUCUAGAAUGAAUUCGAAUGCUCUAGAAUUUCCUCUGGAAUGAGUUCUGUUCUGUCAUUGUUUUAACUUUUUCGUGCUACUAUAGCCCUCAAUGAUAGUCAAUCCAUGUUCUUUCCAUUUAUCUACAAUGAAUAUUAAGUUUUAAAAUAUUAAAUGUGCUUAUGACUUGAUGUCUGAUUUGAAAAUAAUUUAUAUUAUUUUGUGGGCAAAUUGUUUUAUGACGUAUUUUUGUCUAUUUAGUUAGCUUUCUGAAACGGUAUCAUUUGGGGUCAACUACACGCAUGUGUUCGCUGCUCAUUGAGAAUCAUAUCUAAUCACCUUUAAAAAUUGUUAUCUGAGUCCUGUGGAAUAUAUUCAGAAAUGUAUUGCUGAUUUACAAAUAUCUGUCCAAAUGUGUGUUCUUGAAAAAUCUAAAAAGGUUUAAUUUGAGGUACGAUACUCAGUAGCAUUAGUAUCGCGGAAACUUACUGCGUUUAUACAAGAUAUAUAGUGUUUAUACAAGAUAUAUAUAACAGUAUAAUUAACAUACAUGCUAAGAUAGCAUGUGAUAAUAUUUUCUAUAGUGGGACAUUUUUGCAUGGACAUUACCCUUACUCUCUGCAUUUCAUGACAUUUUGGCCUAAUAAUUUAGAGAUAUUAUACUGUUUUAUGUAUAACUAGCGGGACAAUAAACACUUCACGGAAUGAAUGGCAAACCUACUGGGUUUAUCUUAAAAACUUGAAAGCAUAGCCUGAGUUUUCUAUGUAUGGAAAGAUGGUCGCUCAUCUGCAAAUCAUUGAAGGGUGAUAGAAAUUGGAAUACAAAUAUUACUUGACGCACAUUUUAUAUACACUUUAUAUACAUUAUACACAAUUGUGUAGGCUUAAUAUACAGUAAUAAUAAAAUAAAUAUCACUAUUAUUUUUCCAAUUUUCCCAGAAACAAUAUAUAUAUAUAUAUAUAUACAGAGAGAGAGAGAGAGAGAGGGCUUUAGUUCACUGGUGAUCUAAACGAAUAGGUACGCUGUGUAAGUGCUCUAGUUAGUCAUCCAUGAGGUUUCAAGUUCAGAGCUGAGGCUGGAGCUGUGGAUCCGUAGUAGACUCCUUAAUUAGCAGAACGAUUAUCUCAAUUCGUUUGGAAUAUUAAUUACAGUAAGGUGAAUUUGAACUAAUAAAUUGAUAAUUAGUAAAUUAAUUAAUUCAUUAAUCAUUGGAUGUCUUACAGCUGAUUCUGGGAUAUCCCAAGUUAAAGGUUAGCAUCUCCAUACAUUGGGCAUUCCGUCAUCACAGACAAGGUGAGCAAGUAGGGAAGUUCUCAACAAGAAUUUCACAGUUUAUAAAGGAAUAAAAUAAUAGAUAGAAGAAUAUUCCUUUGUCUGUCUUCUUCUAUCUACCGCUUUGCUCUUUAUUCGGCUAUCUAUUAUUCUGUACCUUUCUAAGCUGUGAAUUCCCUGUCUAUAUCUUUCAUACAUGCUCACCGUGUCUCCGAUGAGAUGCUAAUGGAGUAUAUGCAGAUGCUAAUCUACCACGUGAGAUAUUCCUGAAACACUUGUAAGACAUCCAAUAAUUAGUUAAUUGAUUUCGAGCCGGGUCGUCUGCUGCUUGAGAGGACCGACCAGGUAAAGGACCUGGGUAUCUUGGUGGAUUCUUCCUUUUCGCCUUCGGCCCAGUGUGUCCAUGCUGCAUACAAGUACGCGGAUUUCUGUUCUUGAUUCGACGGUCAUUCGGAAUGCUCACAGCAGCCAUAUUCCCACCGUUCUAUGUCACGCUGGUGAGACCCAUAUUGGAGUACUGGAUUCAAGCCUCUUCUCCUUAUCUCCUCAAAGACAUACAUCAUCUUGAAAGAGUCCAGAAGCUGACUACCCGCAUGGUUCUUGGUCUCAAGCAUUUGUCAUAUGAAGAAAGGCUGAAUACUCUCGACCUUUAUUCUCUAGAAAAACGACGACUCCGUGGUGAUCUCAUUCUUGCCCACAACAUCAUAAGUGGAAAGUGUAACCUCUCGAAAGAGCUGUUCUUCACUCCUGCUCCAGAGCAUCGGCUGCGGGGUCACCCCGAAAAGCUCUAUCUGCGACGAUUUCAUCUCAAUCGAAGGAGAGGGGAUUUCUCCGUCCGGGUUGCGGAUCCGUGGAAUAAGCUGCCGGACGAGAUAAUGAAGAUGCCGACGACCUCUCGGUUCAAAGUCUCUCUUGACCAGACAUGGCCUGAACUCUUUGCCUGAACACCCUCCCUGUACAUAACUCCAUGUCCCCCUACAUGGCCUUGCUUUUUGCUUUUUGAGCCAAAAAAUUAACUGAACUUAACUUAACUAAUUAAUUAAUUAACCAAUUAAUUACCUCAAAUUCACAUUGAUCCAAUUGAAUAUUCCAAUAAACACACACACACACAGAUGCAAAAAACAAUGUUCUCAUUUCAGUUUCCUUAAACCAAAUUCUCUCACGAAGGCUUUGUCGCUCCAGUGCUUAGGUAGGAGACUAUUGUUCAAGCUGCUAUGCACUGGAACUGAACCCAGAACCGUGCGACUGAGAAGCAAGCUUUUUACCGCGCAUUUAAGUAUAUAAAUAUUUAUGAGUGUGUAUGUGCGAUGUUAUGCAUGAAAUUGCGUUGUUUUAUGUACUUAUAUACCAGAAGAUAAUCGAUGCUAUCAAAACAAAAUGUGUCCGUUCAGGUACUUCCCAUGAAAAUAUUUCUUUGAUGGGCAUUUUGUGGCUAUGCCACCAGCUUUUGUGUACAGAUUUUAUAUUCCGUCUAUAGAGCAGCCAAAUCUAUUGGGCAGAAUGAAAUUAUCUGAGAAUAGGCAAUAGCGAAUCUGAUUGAUAGGUAUUGCAGUAACGAAAUCCCUAAGCGAAUUUCUUCAAUUGUUAACUAUCUGCUUUGUGAAAUACGCCUUUAGAGAUAUCGAAGAAAAUGUCCAGCUAUUUGAAGUGCUGAAGUGAUGUCGCUAUCUCUCUUACGUUCCGUCUAUAUUUGUAUUUUCAUGUUGCGUGUGGGAAGAUAAUACAAAGCUAGAAGUAACAACAUCCUGCAAAAUUUGUGAUUCUUUCUAAAAUGCUGAUUUCUGCUGAAGUCAAACGAACAACUAUUAUAUCUGAGAUAGAAUUUUAUAAUACUUAUAUUACAAUGUAUGAUUAUUACGUUACAGAUAUAAGUUUAGAGAGUUGUACUGGAACUAAUGCUGUAGUGGAGAGCAAAAUCAUUUGUGAUAUUUGUGUAUGGUAUUAGAUCAAAUAUAAAUUAUUUCAAACUUUACUAAUUAUCCCUGCAGCGGUUCAUAAAGUAAUGCAUCGGUCUGAAGUUCUGUCAGUAGGUGAUUAUUUGAUGUAAAAUAAAAAGAACCUCAUCUGAAAACUACGAGUGUGUGCUUAAAUUUAUGCGUAAAUUGAAAUAGGUUGAGUUCACAUGUAACACAGAUGACGCGCAAGAGAAAAUGAUAACUAGAAUGAAACUGGUGUGAUAUAGAUGACGACAAUAGAGGAACAUUGCCUGGAAUACGUGAGAUAAAACAAGUCCUUUCUUUUAAACUCUUCCUGUAGGAGCUAUGAAACCAGUGCUACUAAAUAUCUGGCAGGCAUUAACAAUUGUACUAGUUGAAUAUUAAUCAUAUAAUUUUCUUCAAUAAUACAUUGAGUCAAAUAUGUCAUUUAGUUCCAUUCGUAAAUUACUGUAGAAUCUACGUCAAACAGUGAGAAUGAUGAAUUUGGUUAAUAUUUCUCACAUUUCUAUUUCAACAUCCGUGCUAAUGGUCGUUUUCUCUCAUUGUUCUCACUUGUCCAUUGUUAUAAAGUCAACCGCUUGGAUAGACUAUUACCUCACAUUAAUUUCGGGAGAUAUUAUUAAAGUUUCUGUCACCCGUUAAAGAUUCCCUAUUAAAACUCCUAUGUAGAUCUUUAAGUCUUAUUAAUAGUAACACUUUGAUGGUAUCCGUUUCAGUGUUACAUUUCUUCGUAAUGAAAUUGCCCGCAAAAAUUUAGUGGUUAAAAUCCUAUUGACGCUAAGGGUUUAAUAGCAAAAAAUUAUAUGCUAUUCAUUGUAACUUAUAUAAUGUUUUGACUCACUAUCAUUUCGAAAACCUGAUUAAAUAAAAUUAAAAUUGUCUUAACUUCAUUUGCGAUAUGUGGUCUCAAUAUCUUCUAAUGGCAUAUGUUGCAAACAAUUUAUGUUAAUCUCUCUCUCUCUCUUUCUCUCUCUCUCACACACACACACACACACAUACACACACACACACACACGCACACACACAUGUCUCUACAACCUUACUUGUUUUGUACUCUCACCUUCUGAUCUCUUUCCUUCAACUUCUGCAAAACAAAGAAAACAUUAGGUUUAGAAGGUUUAAAAUUUCGUAAACGCCUUCUGAGUCAUUUUCUACUAUAAUAAUACUCCUGUGUUUUUCUUCGUCACAGAAUACAAAUGAGAAUGAGAAUAAUGUUGGUUGAAUUGAUUUCGUAUGUGGUUGCAUGUAUUUCUGCAUUAUUGGCGGUUGCUUUUUUUACAUUAUUGGAGCGAAAAGGUUUAAGGUAUUUUCAGUUACGGAAAGGACCCAAUAAGGUAGGGUUAAUAGGUUUACCUCAACCUUUGUCAAAUGCAAUUAAGGUAUAGAUGAAUAAGGAAGGAAGAAAUAAUAGCAAUAUUGGUAGUGGGAUGAUUGAAAUUCUACGGGGUAAAAACAAACAAAGAUGCCUUCACCAUGGAAAGAAAACCCAGGGUUGGGUUCAAAUUCCUCCAGGGCACCUGAUGAAGCCUGGAGAGUAAAUCGGCCGAAAUGUUGUGGUAACAACAAACAAAAGGAAGACACAUAUCCGUCCAAUGUAAAUAAUGUAAAUAACGUAUGUGAAAGUUUAUGUGUGAACCAGCGUUCUUUCAGUAACAAACGACAUCUCAAAAUACAACCACUAGAUAACAUUGAGAAGUGUAUUAAUUUGAAUUACCAUCAUUAUCUAUCUUGUAUCCUCAUUUAUAUAUAAAAUGCUACAAUUAGCCGUCAUUUUAGACGGCAUUGUGUCAGCUAGUCUUAUAUGAAUCUGCUUGUCAUUGCGUUACUUAGACCGUCGGUAACGCUUUCACGUGAUUAGAGAAAUGAGGUAGAAAGAAAAGUUAUAGAGAAAAGGAGGGUAGGAGAAAAGUGGUGGGGGGGGGAGAAACGAGGGAGAGAGAAGCGUUCAUGACGUUAGGUUGGAGGAAUGCAAUUGUGAAACUUUCACGUGAUAAGUUGAAGUGAAAGAGUGGGGGAAGAAAAAGGAGAAAUAAUGCGAAGGAUGAGACAGAAACAGGCAGACGUCCAUGGUGUGAGGCUGGAGGAAGGUAAUAUUUAUUACGUGGUUGGAAAAGUUAGUUGAAGGUAGACGAGGAGUGGUAAAAAUAUAAUUUUAGCAAAGGUGUGGUGUUCUGAUGGUGAGGUUAAAGACAAGCAGAGAGAGGGGAGAGAGAGAGAGAGAGUGAGUGAGAAAAAGAGUGAGUGAGGAAAGGGGUGAGAGAGGACGGGGAGAACGGAGAGAGAAAGAGAGAGAGAGAGAUGAUGUUGGUUAUGGUGGUGUUGGUAGUGGUGGUGAUUAGAUAGUGAAAAAUAUUUUUUUUAAAGUAUUUUAUAUGACGAAUCACUUAACGCAUGCGCAUAAGCACAAUUCUGAGAAAAAUUCACGCAAUUAGCUAAAGGUUUUAUCAUAUGUACGGGCUAUAUAUAUAUAUAUAUAUAUAUAUAUAUAUAUAUAUGUGUGUGUGUGUGUGUGUGUGUGUGUGUGUGUGUGUGUGUAUGUAUGUAUGUAUAUAUAUAUACUUUUUUGCUUUAGAUUUUGUCGACUACAAAUUAAAGUAGGGUAAGUUGAGCACCGUCUGUGAUAACUGUACCCUGACGCAAUUCAUAUUGCCAAACAUUUGCAAACGACAUGCUGUACCGCGUGGCAUUCGCGCCAAGCAGAGGUUUCGGGAAAUGCUGGAUGAAUCUAAUGGUGAUUAUGAAGGUACAGCAGCUCAGAAAACUCACUCUGGAAAAAACUCAUAAAUGUAUUGGUAAAGUCCAGGCCAUGACUGACAACAAUCUCUCCAAAUCAAUCAGAACCAUCUCCAGGGACAUGGGAGUUUUCCAUGAUGCAAGUGCAUUAAGGCUUUCGGUAUUCCUCAUAGAACGGCCAAUUUGUAUCCCAAGCCAUCGAGGAUAAGAGAGAAGGCCGCGCUGCGAAACUUAUGAACAAACUCAAGCAGCCCCUCCAACUGAGUAUGAUUUGUUUUUUCUUGUCUCAGAAAUGUUUUUGCCUCGAUCAGAUGCUGAACACACAGAACAACCGUUGGCUUGCCGUGUCCCCAAAACAUGUACAGAGGCGGAUAAAAAUUAAACAUCCAGUGAACAUCAGGGUGUUUGGAGUCAUCAUUAAUGAUCGCGACGUAAUGCUUCCAUUCGUCUUCUCACACGGUGUCAGGCUCAACCCAGACACCUACAUCAAGCGUUUGGAGGGGGUAGUGAGUAUUUUAGUUAUAUUCCCUCGUAAGCUCUACUUGGGAAGAAUGUAUCAUUUAUAGGAUUAAUUCCGAAAUUGAUUCAAUAUAGAGAUAACGAAAUUUAAAUUUUCUAAAGGUUAGUUGCCCGCUUUCAGUUCAAUUUUCCUGUAACAAGUGGAUUAUAAGUGGAUAAAUAAGUGUAUUGGCUUUAGAAUAACCCUCUUUAGCCCUUAAUUAUAAUAUGUAUAUAUAUAUAUAUAUAUAUAUAUAUAUAUAUAUAUAUAUAUAUAUAUAAUUUUGUUAUAUUUAUUUCUACAGCUAUGAUAUUCUAUAGAACUUAUAGUCAGCACUGAUAUUAAUACAACGUUUCAUAUCGAGAUUUCAGAUGUAAACAAAUAAUUAACCAGUUUUAUCAUCGAUCGCAUUGUUUGUUUACAUCAGUGGUGGCUAUAAUUUGCUAUAGAAUAUCUGUAGAAAUAACCGUAACAAGAUAAUAUAAGAAGCACUGCUGAUACAGUAGAACGUUGUGCUGAUUUACAAAAAGAUAAUUAUAAAACAUUUAGUAUAUUUUAUAGUAUACUGUGUUUGCAUAAGGAGGUACCACGUAUAUACAUAUCACUAAUAUAUAUAUAUAUAUAUAUAUAUAUAUAUAUAUAUAUAUAUAUAUAUAUAUAUAUAUAUACACAGAUACAUACAUAUCUACCUACCGGAAUACAUACAUACGUGCAUACAUACAUAAAUGCAUACAUGCAUGCAUAAAUACAUACAUAUAUGUAUGCAUAGGAGAGGUGCCGAGCAAAAACACACACACAUAUAUUAUCUAUAUAUUAAUAAAAAGGUGGAGGUAUGUGGCUUAAUGGUUAGAGUGUCAGCAUCAUGAUCGUAAGAUUGUGGUUUCGAUUUAGUUUCUCAGUUUCACACACACGCACACACUCACACACACUCACACACGGGCAGAGACACGCACACACAAACAUAUACGUACAUACAUACAUGCACACAUACAUAGAUUCUUAUAUAUAUAUAUAUAUAUAUAUAUAUAUACACGUAAAACUUAAUCUCCAGUGCUACUUUUUUAUUUUUUAUUCAUUUAUGUAGCCGAAGAGACCUACAACGGGUGGAAACAUGCGUCGUACUAAAUAAAAUCUAUUUUUCUCUCAAUGUUUUAUUAAUGCUGCUACCUCAUCAGCCACUAUGGAGUUCCUGCUAUCUACGGAAAAUGUGUUUGUAUCUGUGUUUGCCCCCCUCCCCAUGAAGAAGUCCUGUAGUAAAUUUGUUCGACUAAAGGCGGUAUUCCCGCAUGGCCGCAAUCAAAUAACCGAAACAAAUAAAAGAAUAAAAGAAUAUAUAUAUAUAUAUAUAUAAAUAUAUAUAUAUAUAUAUAUAUAUAUAUACGACGGGUUUCCUUCAGUGUCUACCUACCAAAUCCACUCAAUGCUUUGUUCGGCCCCAGGCUUUAGUAGAAGACAUUUGCCCAAGUUGCCACGCCGUGAAGCUGAACCCGUAUCUGUGUGUUUGUGAAUCAAUCUUCUCGCCACAUACCCACGCCUCACCUAUGACAUAGCCACGCCUGCACCUACGUACAGCCAUGACUGCGCCUAUAUCUGUAUGUAUGCAUGUAUACACACAGAGACACACACAUAUGUAUAUGUAUACACAUAUAUAGAAGUAUAUAUGUGGAUUUAAUUAUGUGUAUACAGAUAGAUGAGUAAAAGUGUAUAUGUGUGUGUGUGUGUCUAUACAAGUAUGCAUGUAUGUAUAUGAAGUGUAGACUCUUUACUUAUAAAAAAAGGAUGUUUGUACGUUGAUCACAACUAACAGUACUUAGAGUUGGUAAUUAUUUGUGUUUAUUUAUUGGGGUGUUUUUUUCAUUGAUUGUGACAUAUGACAUGCUAUGGACAUGUUAUGGACAUUUUAUUUGGAAAAUGAAUUUGAGUGUGUGGUAGCUUCAUCUGAAAUUGGCGCUACAAAUUUACAUGGAAAUCGAGCAGUUCAUUCAGCUGUUAAUUCAUCCCUCAAUUUGGAAUGAAAUGUCCAUGUUUCUUUUAAAGAUAAAUUCAGGAGAUGCCCUAGUAUGGCAAAUAUGUAUGACAAUUUGGGAGGAUGAAUGUACAACAGCGCACAAACACACAUUGGAGCCCUUGGAUAGAACACCGAAUGUUAUUCAUAAACAGCACUACAAGCAUCGGAAUAAUCACGGUAGUUUUCUGGGAAAUUCGAUCAAACUUCAUUUGAUAUAUCAAAGGGGAAAUGCGCAGAUCCUUCUGGCUUUUCCGUGAAAUCGGCAACUUUAUAGCCACAUAGUAAACUCAGCUUAAGAAAUAACAUGCGGGCACAGCAUCAAGUUCUCGCAGAUUUUGAUCAGAAGCUUCUGAAACUUGGUGACGGUAAUGUAUCCCUUGAUACUGAAGGAUGUAUUGAUCCUUCAUGAGUUUGAGCUAUUAGGGAAAGCAUUGAUAUAUUAGUUAAUCAAGUGUUGACCGAUUUUGAAAUCCACCAACCCAACGAUGAGAGGCUGUGUGAAAGAUUAGUCGUAGCCCCCAAAACAUUGCAGUGAAGGCCAUCAAUGAACAUCUUUCACAAACGAUCCCAGAUGCCCAGAGCUGUAAAUCUAUACGUAAAGCUGUAGAACAGUACGAUACUGUACAUUAUCCCAUUGAAUUUCUUGACAACCUGGAGUCAACUGUUAUGCCGUCUCUCAGCCUUGAAUUGAAGAUGAAUGCAGUCAUCAUGCUUCUCAGAAACAUAGAUCUGCCAAGAUUGUGCUGUGGAAUGGGUAUGUUUGUGACUGAAAUACAGCCUCUCAUUAUCGAAGCCAAAUCCCCUCUGGACGUGGUAAGGGACCCGUCGUAUUUAUAACUAGAAUAUUGCUAAUACCAACAGAUGUCCCGUUUCGUUUGCAACGAUUGUAAAUCUGAGUGAACAUCAGUUACGCAAUGACCAUCAACAAGUCCCAAGAUUAAACACUACAAUUACUCGUUCUCCAUCUAGAAGAGAGCUGUCACUCACAUGGACACUGCAGUUUGUCGGUCUCCAUCUAGAAGAGAGCUGUCUUUCACAUGGCCAAUUCUAUGUAGGUUCUUCGUGAGUAGGAAGCACCUGGAAACUCUUCAACUAUGCUCCAAAGAAAGAAGUUAGAUACGUUGUACGUACUCAAGACCCGUAAAUGUUUUAUAUUCAGUAUAAUGUUUUCUUUGAUUUUCUUUAUUUAUUUCUAUAUUUAGAUAUUUCAGGUAAUUUUUUAAAAUUUGUUAUGUAAUUUUCAAGUACUUUUUAACAGUUUAUUUUAAGGAAAUUGGGAAUUACGGUAGACACUAAUACGCGCUUUAUGAAUAUAUUUGAUCACAGUACAAGCCAGAGACAUUGCCGAGUGAUUACCAGUGUAAAUAUAUAUAUAUAUAUAUAUAUAUAUAUAUAUAUAUAUAUAUAUAUAUAUAUAUAUAUAUAUAUAUAUGUGUGUGUGUGUGUGUGUGUGUGCACGUGUGUAAAGAGGGAAACAUUUAGUGAGAGUUGACGUAGCAUUAUACUUAACGUAGUAUACAUUUAAACUAUAUUACUUUUAGAAAGAAAAAAUGAUAGUUGCUUUUAAAGUUACGGUUCCCUUUAUAUUUGUGAAGCCGUUAUUUCUGUAUAAACAAUGUGUCAAUAUAUGUGUAUGCAUAUGUAUAUAUAUAUAUAUAUAUAUAUAUAUAUAUAUAUAUAUAUGUGUGUGUGUGUCUGUGUGUAAAUAUAUAUAUAUAUAUAUAUAUAUAUAUAUAUAUAUAUAUAUAUAUAUAUAUAUAUAUAUAUAUAUAUAUAUAUAUAUAUAUAUAUAUAUAUAUAUAUAUAUAUAUAUAUAUAUGUAUAUAUAUAUAUAUGUAUGUAUGUAUGUAUGUAUGUAUUACAUUCUCACAAACUAUACUUGUAGAAGAAAGUUUCAAUGGAAUUUCAUUAUAUGAAGCCUCAAACUGGAUUUCCUACCAUUAAACGAAAUAAUUUCUAUUUCUUACCAAAUACUCA